rnacentral:lncRNA from 1 species
AGGGAUAGUGUUGACCAACGUAGAAAGUUUCUAAUUAGGAGGAUUCAGAUCUUUGGGAUUAUAAUUAGACUUGAUUGCAGGCCUUGAUUAUAAAAAUUUUAUUCUUAUUGUAAAUAUUUCUAAUUUAGGUUAAUUCUUUGUGUAUAAAUAUUCAAACCUUGUAAAGAUCAAUUCAAUUGGAAUAGAAUCAAAAACUCCUCUCAAAUUCUUUAGUCAGCCUUAGUUUUAUAGAACUUAUCUUUUACUUUGUCAGGUAUAACAAACUCAGCAUAGCAUAUACUUGUCGCACUCCUCCAAUUUAUCCAUCUUGUUUCGAUCUUAUGAGAUACAUCCCCACUAUUGCUCCAUUAUUAUGCAUGAUAGAAUCUAAAGACUUGAAUUGCUAGCAUUUUGGCAUUGAAACUGCGACCAAUCCAACCUCACCUCCAUUCCUUCUACCAAAGUUAAACUCAUAAUACAUAUAUUACAUAUUAUUUCUACUUAGCUUAAAACCCUUGCUCUCAAGAGUCCUCCGCAAUUUUUUCAACUCGUUUACUAGUUUCAUCUAUUAAGACAACAUCAUUUACAAAUAAUAUGCCCCAUGUGCCAUCAUCUAUUAAGACAACUCGUUCUAAGCUAGCUCAUUUGAAGGUAUAGAAGUGAACACAUAAAAAUAAUUAAUAAUUAUGUUUUAACUUUAAAUAGAACUUUUUCAUUUAUAAUAUUAAUACACAGAGGUAUUUAAUUAGAAUUAUUUAUAAUUAGAAAAUUUUCUAUUUUAGUCCCUAUAGAAUGAGGAUUUGAGGAACUCAUUAGUUGAUCCAUCUAUUUUCAAAAAUACAUUAAAACAUUCUUGGCGUUUUAAAAAAUCUAUUAAUUGGUCAUUCCAUUAAUUUUAAUGGUUAAAUAUUAUGAAAAAGUCUAAAAUGCCCUCAAUACAGGCGAACUAACAAGUAGACUUUUUACAAACUUGAGGGAAUAACUAAUAAAUUUUUUCAAAAUACAGAAAUAUAGUAAAAUACUUAACGGCUAAAAUUAACAUAGGAAUUAACUAAUAAACUUUUUAAAACGUAAGGGACUUUUAGUGUAUUUUUCAAGCGAGGAAUCAACUAAUGAGUUUCUCCUUAACAUAGAGACUAAAUAGUAGUUUUCCCUACAUAGUUAAAGGAUGUUCACUAAGACUUGUCAUUUAUCAUACAGAAAAAGGAUGGCCCAAUGCCAUCAAGCUUCUCACACUUGUGGGCUCUGGGAAAGGUGAUAUACACAACCUUGCCCCAAGUAAAAUGACUUUAUUUACAGCUUAAGUCGACUAAGAAAGACAUUGAGUUAAUUUCAAUUUCUGUUUCAAAUGAGCAAUACACAUACAGGGUUGCAUUUAAAUUCAAUGAGUCCAUGCGAGAGCUCAAAUUUAAAUAUUAUUUCAUAAAUUAGUUGCACCAGAGCUUUCAAAAGGCCCGAUGCUAAAUCCAGCUCAUAUAUAGCCCUACUGCAAGGAUCCUUGGAAGACUAUUGGAUAUGUUUCUAUCAUUUACAGUGCCCCAAAUAAGGAUGUCAAUAAAGUGCUUUUGGAUGAAUAGAUGAUUUCUAAUAUUUGAUAACAAUGUAAUGCUACAUCCAAUUUUCUCAUUAAUAUUGGAAGAAUUAGAGAUGUUUUACUUUAAAAAUAUCAAUGUGAUGCUCUCCAUCAAGGAUGGAGAUCUCAACAGUCAUGUGUCAACAAAUGCCUUUUCACAAUAGAAAGAGUGUAAAAGCAACAAAUCUUACAUGCAAGUGAGAAGAGGAAAACAUAUUUAAUGUGCUAAUACCAAAUGCCUUCUAUAUUUUUCUUCAUAUCUUCCACAUGACUAAAAGCUCAAAGUGAAACCAAUUUCAAAGCAAAAUAAAACUUAAUGAGCAAACAAUAAGCAAACAUAAGAAGAGCAUUCAGAAACUUUUGUGCCUUUACCUCCCAACGUACAAGAGCAGUAUUUCCACCAAUAACCUUCAAGACAUGACCACGCGUUUUACUUGGUAUUAGCAAACCUUCCACCCCAGGAACGUGCAAAGGAUGGUUAGUUUCAACAAUUUGUAAGACGUUGUCUAACCAGCAUUCGUUGGUAAUUUCAAACAGGGACGAUAUACCAACAGACUUAUCAAGAAAGUUAUACCUGUUUACAGAAUGAAGGAAACAUUACGAAUACAAAAUAUUGGGAUAGCAAUCUAUCAUCAAAGCAAUGGUCUAAACACACAAAUUGGAGGUCAUUGUGGAUAUUUACAAAGAAUAUCAAGAAAGGAACUUGUGCCAUUAUGAAAAUGAAUGGAUAAGACACAUAAGGGAUUAAAAGAAACCAAAAAAUCUAUUUAAUAGAGUAUCUCAUUAAAAUAAAUUUCAAAAUGUAUUUAGUAUUUUCUAACCAAAAAGUUACCUCUGUACCAACAACAUGGAGAAGACUUAUUUCCACUUUCCAAAUUUAUUUGUGAACACAAAAGCUCCAGCAAUUUCAUUGACAUGUGCAGUGCAAAUAACUACAAAAUGGCUGCAGAAUUAUUCCACAGUAUAAAUAAAUAAAAAAGCCAAAAUGAACUUGACCAAGAUGGUAUGGCAUAAAAAUGCUUCCAAAAAGCAAUCAGUUACUCCUUUCUAAAGGUAUAGUAUGUUACGUCCUAAUCCUUUUUCUGUCACAUGAACUUGGCAAGUGUCCCUCGCUCGGAAAAUAAACUCAACUAUCUUUCAUAUGAUUACUCAUCCUCAACAUUUUUCAUGCAAUUCAAUAUAGAGAACCUCAAUAACAUGUAUUACAUAUUGGCAGAACAUAAAUCCCAUAUUAAUCAAUGACAAUAAUAGAAAAAUGAAGUUAGAAGAUAAGCAUUGCCAAGAAAACCCCAAUGAAUAGCUGACAGUGAGGAUGCAUCAACCAUAACAUGUUUCCACACUGAAAUGUCAUUCAACAAGGAAAAUAAUGCCAAAAAAAAGAAUGGUGGUCCUUUAUACUAGAUUAUAGAAAAUAUAAUCCAUAACCUGUUAAACAAGUGAAAGAUGACACCCAUCAAUGUAGAGAAGUGCUAGGACAAGCAGCAGCAGUCCAGGACAAAUACCAUAGCAAAUCAAAUAUCACACUGGAGCACCAUGACUUUUGAAGUUAAACAAAGAAAAUGACUCCAGUAUCAAAUUGAUAGCUUUGCUAUCUAUCUAUUUCCCCAGUCAAGGAGGAAUAAAAAUCAUGCUGAAAAAUGCAGGGGCAUAAUUGAACAAGAAGAAAAUAUGAAGAAAUUCCACUUACACACAUUCAGAGGGCCAACAUCCUUCACUAAGGGACGAUAAAAGGCUAAUCAGUUCUGCAGUCCUGAAGGGAAAUUCACCCUCUAAGUUGCAAAGAAGACACCGAAUAGGACCAUCGAUAAAACUUUCCUUGUCCCAAAAUUGACUACAAAGUGAUUCCUGCGUUGACGGGCAAGAUUAUAUCAAUUUAAUAAAACUGCAAGCAAUAUAUUAGGGCCCUACAACUUAUUGCUGAGAUAAUGAUUAAUGGAAACAUAAACCAACCUCUCCUCGAUAAAUUUUGCGUAGAAUAUCUAAUAUGAGAUUAAGGGUUCUGUCUUCUAACUGAAACAUGGAAAAAGCAAGAAAUAUAAGUACAAAAAGAAUAGGAAAAAGUAAUAAAUGUGUUGCAUGCUAUUCAAAGAUGAAAAAAGGUAAAAUGUAAAUCUGUUGCAUGCUAUUCAAAGAUGAGAAAAAAAAAUGCAGUUACCUGAAGAUUAAUCUCAUAAGAUGCAAUAAAUGCUGAAACAAAGGUUCUCAAAACACUUCGAUAACCAGCAAUAGGCCCCUAGAUAUGAAGAAAGCAGAUUGUGCAACAACGAAACAAAUUUAAGUCAGCACUAUUAAACUCAACAUCAAGAAAAACAACCGAGACUUUAUACAAAAGGCAAGCUACAUCCGAACACUUGAAACUAUUGUAAAAGCAAAACAGUCACCAUAACCAAAAAGACUCAGAACUGAGAAUGUCAAUUGACUAAUAGCCCCACAAUGCAGUAAAGACAACCAGUAAGCUUUCAGAAUUGAAAGGAAUAACUACUUUUUGUUUAGAUUAUUAUCCUCAUGAGAAAAGACUUCUCUCAAAAAACUGAUGCUACUACUGUUAAGCUAUAUUACGCCCUUCUUUGUCCUUACUCCACAUAUAAAUUAAGAAAUGCAACAAUUUCAGCAUAAUGAUAGAUUUCUGUCAAGACACAAAGGCAAGAGUAGCACUAGCAGAGGAAGAGAUGAAGUAACUUAUUACUAGUAAUAACUUCUGUUGAAUCCCACAUCGGUUGUAGAAAGGGGUAAUGUGCCCCUUAUAUGGGCCAUAGGCACUCCUCCCCCUUGAGCUAGCUUUUGGGGUGAGUUAGGCCUGGCCCAAAUUUAACAUGGUAUCAGAGCCUCCCCAUCUGAUGUUGGGCACCCCAUAAAUGUGCCACGCACCAGUAAAAAUUCUGGGCAUGAGGGGUGUGUUGAAUCCCACAUCGGUUGUGGAAAGGGGUAAUGUGCCCCUUAUAUGGGCCAUAGGCAGUUAGGCCUGACCCAAAUUUAACAUACCGAUGUGGGAGGAGUGCCUAUGGCCCAUAUAAGGGGCACAUUAUCCCUUUCCACAACCGAUGUGGGAUUCAACACACCCCCUCACGCCCAGAAUUUUUACUGGUGCGUGGCACAUUUAUGGGGCGCCUAACAUCGGAUGGGAGGCUCUGAUACCAUGUUAAAUUUGGGCCAGGCCUAACUCACCCCAAAAACUAGCUCAAGGGGGAGGAGUGCCUAUGGCCCAUAUAAGGGGCACAUUACCCCUUUCCACAACCGAUGUGGGAUUCAACAACUUCAUUCAAUCAAAUAACUUACAUCAGACUCCUUCAGCAAGCUGCUAUCAAGAAUUUCAACAAAAUAAUUUAGUGAUCCACUUUCAAAUGCUUGACGAAGAUAACCAACAUGAUCAAUCUCCUGGGGAAAAGAAAUAAAUAAUAAAAACAAAAGAAAGGAAAAGAUAAAAGAGAAGUUCAGCAUUUGUUCAUCCCGAUUUAAGGAAGCCAUCUGAAAAAAUUACCUACCAUCAGCAAAUUAUUUUCUUCUUUUCCAGGAAGUGAUGAAAUUAGACAAAGACAUACUGCCCAUGUAAGUAUUAAUGGACCAGCUUCUUUCAUUUCAAAAGCAUUAAAACUUGAUAUCAAUGCAUCCAUCUCUUGAAUAUCAGUUAAGGAAAAUAUGGAAGCACCUGGCCUACGAAAUAACCAAACAAAUUCCAACAAUCAGAACAAGCACAUAAAGAAGGCAAUGAAAAGAAUACAGAGUUAUUUUUUAUUAGUCAUUCUAUUCCUUCCAGUUAACCUGGAGACCCAUGUAGAAAAGUUUAUGCCCUCCAAAUUUUCUACAUGGACCUUCAUGCUUCUGGCAUGCCAAAUUUCAAGCCAGAUACUCAAGGAUUUAGCACCUAAACGCGUCUUAGACAAAAUUAAAUUGGAAUUAUGAAAAGAGCUCUAAAUUCUAAGGUCAGUUUGGGAAUGGAAAAAAAUUUAUGCAAUAUGCAUACAGCAGUGUUACCAAGGCGAGAGGCGACCCUAUGGCAAUAGAGGCUCCUAUCACCUUAGGCAAGAGGCGAGGCAAUGCCUUUUGUUGCCUUUUGAAAAAGGCAACAAAGCUAUUUUUUAUAUAUAUAUUUUAAAUAUACAUGUAUAUAUAGCUAUAAUGUACCAUCAACAAUAGUUUAUAUAUUUUAAUCUAACUAAUAUUACCUUCUUUAAUUAGAUUAAAUAUAUAAAAUAUAGUUGAUAAUAAAAAUAAAAUAUAUAUAUAUAUAUAUAUAUAUAUAAUGUAUAGAAGAUUAAUAUUAAUUUCUUAAUAUAUAUGUAUAAAUAACAUUAAUAUAUAAAUAAUUUAAUAAUAAUAAAAUUAAUAAUUACUUAAAUAAUAAUAUUAACUAAUAAUAAAAUAGUAUAUAAAUCUCUAAAUUAUAUAUACUAUAAUCUAUAUGAUAAAUAAUAAUAUUAUUUAAUAUAGAAUAUAAUUAUAGUAUAGAAUAUAAAAGAAUAAUAUAAUAUAUAUUUAUAAAAAUAAAAUAAUAAUAAAAUAUAACUAAAUAAAUUAAUAUUAAAUUUCUAUAAAUAAACAUUAUUUAUAAAUAAAUAAAUAUUAUUUAUUAUAUUAAUAUUUCCAAUAUUCAUAUUUUAUUUUCAUGUUUCUAAUAUCAAGGUAAUUUAUUAUAUAAAACAAGGAAAAAGCAAAAAAGAGGAAAAAAGUCAAAAGUUCCAUUUCUCUUCUUCUUCCAAGAAGAAAAGUAACUUUUAAAUAUUAUUUAAAGUACUUUCUCUUCCACAGAGGCAUAUCCUUCCUGCUCCUCUUCCUCUUCUUCUUCUUCCUCUAUCCUUCUUUCUCCAAUGAGAUUCUGCUCUCUUUUUUUUUCUUGGCGUCUCGCCACCUAACGCACUCGCCUUAGUGGGAGGCACUUCGCCUCGCCCAGCGCCUACCAUCGCCUUUCACAACACUGGCAUACAUACAUACAUACAUAUAUAUAUAAAAUUGAAGAGGAAAAUAAAAUAAGAAUAAAACUUAACUAAAAAAAAUUAAAAAGCUUGUCAAACUCUUUUAAUUGAGUUCCAACAAUAGAACCAGGAGUGACUAGCAAAGAACCAACCAAAUCUUUUCACCCGUGUACAAGAAAAAGAGAUCCUAUGGAUAGGCACCAUUGUAAUAUGGAUUUUUUGAUAUAAAGGAAGAAACUAGUUAGCUUUUUAUUGUCAAAUGUUCAUGCGUAGCUUGUAAAGGUGCAAAGGAUUCCUAGAGCCUAAGAAGAGAAGGCUCAGAGCCUCAAACACACAACUAACUGAGGUGAGGUUAGGUUAGGUGUAGACAAAAUUGCUUUGCUAAAUAAUUUAAUUAAGAUUAAGUUAACAAGUCAAGAUAUUUGCAUCACAAUAACCAAUUUCUAAAAUAUAAAGUAAAAUAAAUAUAGAUCUAAAAUUCAUACAAAUUUAAGUAAUAGAAUAUUAGCAUUUUAACAAACAUCUGAAGAAGAAAAAAAUUAACACUGGUAAAUAAAAAUGAAACUGUCAUAUGCAUACAAGAUUGUUGACUUUACUUUCGUUUAUAGGCUCAUGUAGAAAAUUUACGCCUACCACAUUGGGAGCAUAUCCACCAACUACCAUAUGCUUUUGCAACUUUUUUUUUUUUCUUUUUAACAAGAAUCUAUAAUGCUUUUUGAAGCCCAUUUAGAGUAGUGGUAGAUUACUAAAGAACCGGAAAAAACAAUAAUAAGAAACAAAAAUAAUAAAAAAUAAUAAAAAAUAAAAAAGAGAGGAACCAAAUAAGGUGGAAGUAGAGUGUUAUGGUCCCAAGUCAUAGUUCGCAUCACGGGAUGAGGAAUAGAGAAGGAGCUCCUAACACUUCAAACUCAUCAAUGAGGGAGAGUCUUAAAUCUCAAAUAUAUUUAUGAUCAAUCUGCAUUCUUUUUUUACUCAUAAAUUAACCUCAUAUAUAUAAUAAAGGGUUAACAAUAGCAUAAGGAUUCCUAACAAAUUAAAAAUUCUACCCUAGUUGAUAAUAACUAAAAAAUUUACCCUAAUCUAAACAUAAUAAAGAUUAAUAAUAAUCAAAAAGUUCCCUAAUCUAAAUAAUAAUAAAGAUUGAUGAUAAUCAGAAAGCCUAUGUCUAUCCCAAUCUAAAAAAUAAUUAAGAUUAACUGAUUCUGGAAAGACUUCCUCAAUAUUUGGAUUCUAUUGAAGAAUGGAUCUAGUCUAUCCAUUAUUCAUAACAUUAUUCUCCUCCUAGAAAAAGAUCUUGUCUUUUCAAGCUCAAAUUCUAGAUAAACUUGCUAAAGUGAUACAACAUAUUCCUUUUGGGGGCAUCAUCUCAUGUUGUCAUCAUUUGAUCCUCCUACUCCACUCCCAACCAAAACAAUUUCUUGCAUUGAUGACCAACCAAAACAAUUUCUUGCAUUGAUGACCAACAAGAUAAAAUUUACCGCUGCUGUAAGAAAGACCUUUGGCCCUUCUUUCCACCAUUUAUGAUUUAGUGAGCUUUUUAAUAAGUAGAGAAGCAAUUAACUCGGUAUAUUGUUCAUGUUAAUGCUAGAUGAUCCUUUCAUAAUCUCAUAAGACAUCAUUGUAAAUUGUGUGGUGAACUAGGAAAUUGUCUUCCAUGUUCCAUCCACUACUUCUCUCCAAUUGUUGCUUGCGAUCAUACACACAUAUAGGAUUCUUGGCAGUCAUCUCCCUUGCUUCUACCCAAAUGUCAGUUUCAUCUUCUUUUUAUAUGCAUUUGUUCAGAAUACUAUUGUUGCAACCUAUACCUGCCAUUGUUUUUAAUCGUGGUCGCGGCCACGUUCGCGGUUGUGGUCGCAGGUAACAGAAACAGACCUAUAACAGCCAUAACAUAACGGUAACGGCCUGGCGCUACGCAAAUUUUUUUAAAAAAUUUGCAAAGUUCAUAAAUAAAAUGAUAUUGAUUAGAUUUAAUUUAGAAUAAUGUAUACAAAUGCAUAAUAAACAUAAAUAUAUAAAAUAUAGAUUAUUUAACUUAAGUUAAACAUCAUAUAGUUUAAAAUAAGAAAAAUCAACAUAAUCUUUAUAGAUUGAGUAAACUAAUAGCUCAAAGUAUAAUUUUAACUCAAAACUAACACUUUAAUCCACAAAAACUUACAAAAAAAAGGAAAAAAAAAAACAACAAUUAAAAACUAAAAUAGAUAAAAUUUAACUAACUUUUUAGAAGAAAUAAGCUUGGAAAACUUAAAAAAUAUAGUCUUUGAAGUUGCUGAAAAGUGUAGAAACUAAUGAAAAUGAGAAUAGGGAGCAAAAAAUAAAAGAUAUAAAAGAAUUUUAAUUAUUGGUAACGGCCGUUACCGUUACGUAUCGGCCGCUACGCAUGCAAAUCAGGAGGGGCCGCUAUAUAACAGGAUAACGGGUAACAGCCCCCCCAAAACCCGUUACAUAACGGCUGUUACGUCCGUUAUUUAAAACCAUGAUACCUGCAUAUGAGUCUUUGUUGCAAAUGUCAUUGGGAUUACUAAUAAAAUUUUGUAAAUGUGUGCAUCCGAGCCUAGAGUUGAGUAAUCUCAGUUCCAUCGUUGGUUCUAGUUGAACCAAUCUAACCUCGUUUUAUGCUUGCAUUUCAUGAAGUAAAAAUUUCAAUUCCUUGCUUGAGUUUGUCAAAUCUCCCAUGACCACUAACUCAAAUACCAGUUUGCUAUGGACCAAGGUCACGGAUCACAUCCCAUGAUGAUGGAUAGGGAAGGAGCUCAUCAAAGAGAGCUAUUAACACCUCAGACUCGUUAAUCAGAGUCUUAAAUCACAAAUAUGUUUAUGAUUAAUUUGCUUUCUUUUCUUACUCAUAAAUUAACCCCAUACACUAGCAUACGAAUUCCUAACAAAUUAAAAGUUCUACUCUACUUUGUAAUAACUAGAAAGUUUACCCUAAUAUAAACAAUAAUAAAGAUUGAUAAUAAUCAGAAUAUCCUAAUCUAAAUAAUAAGAAAGAUUGAUAAUAAUCAAAAAGCCUAUCAUAAUCUAAACAAUAAUUAAAAUUGAUUGAUUCUGAAAAGAUUUCCUCAAUAUUUGCAUUCUAUUGAAGAAUGGAUCUGGUCUAUACAUUAUCCAUAACUAGAGAGGCAGCACUUUCCAAGUAGAACUUGACCUGCUACUUGAUAUCACUUAUUCAAUGUAUUUGGGUCUUCUUUUAUUCCUUUUAAUAUUAACUUUUAGAUAUUUUGCUAACAAUUUCCUUUUUAUUACAUUUCCUUUUAAGUUCAUUUAGCCAAAUAUUAUAUUAUUAGGGACACAGACUUACACCUACAAGAAGCAUGCACCUAAGGAAACAAAGCACACACCUCUAUCAUAUUGCCUAUAUCACCUCAUAGACAACAUAGGCACUAGAGGGUUAUGUCUUGUACCAAUAGUUUAAAAUAAAUGCUAUCAUUUAUAAGUUUCAAGGGAAUAUCAUCACCAAUACUAUUUAAAUGUGGAUAAUGGCCACUACUGGCCAUUAAUUAAUGGGUACCAAAUAUUACCAUUAAGAAGAGAAUGCCUUUUCUUGGGUAAUUUAUACAAACGGUACACCAAAUUAGAGAUUGUAACAGUAAAGCAAAUAAACUUUAUUUUGUAAUAUAAAACCCCUUCAACUUCUAUUUAAAUAGCAUAAAAGCUCAUUUUACCUGCAUAGCAGGUUUUUAGGUUAAUUUGUUGACUGCGACACUUGCUAAAUUAAAAAUAUAUAUAUUAUCUCUCUCAUCUAUAAUAAUUUUUUUUUUCAAAUCAAUCAAAUAAUUUGUUUAUUUUUUGUUUAAAAUAUUAAAAAAUUAAUUAUAUAUAAGAAAUGAUAGAGAAAAUAUAUAUUUUUAAUUUAACAAGCACCACAGUCAACAAAUUAACCUAAAAACCCCACAAAAUGAAGUUUAUGUACUUUAGUAUUACAACUCCUAAAUUGGUGUAUCAUUUGUGUAAAUUACCCUUUUCUUCUUUUCUUGUGUAGAAACAACUUCACAUACAUAUUUUGUCUAGUAUCUCCAAAGACACUUCCUCUCAAAUUACUCGUCUCUACAAAUCCUUUAAACUUCCAUACUUUUUUAAGCUGAAAAUUAUCAAAUAAACUACACAAAAUGAAGCUUUAUUUGAAUAAGAGUAAUUAAUCUACACUUCUACAAUUAUAUUUUGCAAAGGGUCGGAUAUUUGUCUUUUUUGUCAGUGUUUUUGCUCAUUCGAUGAAGAAAUUUAUGAUUUAUGACAGGUUGUUGAUGAAUUUUAUAGUAUGAAGUACUAGUUUGCCUAGUAUAGGCUAUUGUCUUUUGUUUUUCCUAAGUUCAUCUAUUUUUGAAGUUAUUUGCAGUACAAUACAUAAUCAUGCAAAUCAAAGAACCUCUAAGAAACUCUUUUUGGUGGCAAAAUUAGUUUUUAAUAUCUACCUAAGUACUUUUGUUUUUAAUUGAUUAAUGAUAAUGCUGGAUUUAAUGUAAUUAUUGAUCUAUUUAGAUGUGUACCUUAGUUUUAGUUAUAUCUUUAAAUACCUAUUCAUUCUCAUAAACUUUGUAAUGUUUCACAAAAAAAAAUUGCAUAGCGAUAUGUUAAAGGCUUGUUUCUGAUACUUGCAACUCCAAAAGCAAAUGCAGUCGCAGUUUAAAUCCAUGCUCGUGCCUUGAGUGUGCCAAAAAUAAUUAUAGACUAGUAAUAGGAUUUAUGUACAGGUUAAGCUUGGAUCAAAUUGAGGUCAAUACCUUAGCCAUAGAACAAAAUGUAUAAGGUUGAGGCAAGCAAGCAUAAUUUUUCUAAAAAAAAGUUUCUGAAAUAAAAAAUUUAUUUAUUUAAGAUCAUUAUUCAUAAAUAUAUAAUUAAAUUAUUAUUUUAUAUUAUUCUAUCAUAUUUUAUGACAUUUAAUUUAUAAGACAAUCUAAAUAAGCAAAUGAAAAUAAACUAUAAAAAACUUUGGGGCCAAGUUGAGCGUAGAACCUUAAGAUUAAACAAACCCAAGGUCUAAAAUGUAGACCUUAAAUUUUAGGGCUGGCCUUGAGCCAGCUUAUGAACCACCUGACCCAUGCACAUCCUAGGUCUAUAAGUGUCAAUUUCACUAAAACUUGUCGUGUUCUUCAAUUUUGAAAGCAUAUUUUGUAAUUUACCUCAAUUCCAUAUUCUUUUAGAAUCAAGGGUAGAGCGUAAACAUCGCAAUUUAAGUGCCUUCCACCUUCAGGCAUAUCAACAUUUAGCAUAUAGCAGCAGGUUAUCUUGCUACAGUUUACACCCAUGUUAACAAUUUAUUAGAUAAUUCACAGCAAUUCUUAGAGGACUAUAAAACUCUUAAGUCCUGCAAUAGCACGCACUUAAUGGGCACAAUUGACAAUCUACCAAGUGAAUGUCUCAACCGCAUAAAGACUAUUCUAAUGUGGUUCCCACAACAUGCUUCACAUUCAAAAGCCCAAUACUAAGUACAUAUAUCUAUAUAUUACACCUAAUGUAUAAGAAACAAUUAAAAACAUAUUAGAAACCUGAAAGGAAUUUCAUCAUGGACCAGUUGAAGUAGAUUUUCUAGGUCCAAGGUUUCCAUAAGGAUGAGCAGUAACUGGACUAUGGCAUGAUAUGAAUGCUUUAGCGCUUCGGUUGAUAUUGCCAGCUUUCCAAAAUUGUAAGAGCCAAAUAAGAUCCCCUGCAGCAUGAUGCUAACAAGCCCGAUUACAAGAAGAACAGAAUAAAGAAAUCACUUUCUAAAAAAGGGAACUUGUUUACCUUGUAAAUUGAGCAUAGCUUUUUCCACGUUUCACCGUUACAAGUACAAAGUGAUUCAUAAUAUAUGAGGAAGAGAAUUUCUAAAACCAAAUUGUCUUCAAUCAGUGUCUCCUCAGCCCACAAAGUGAAAAGAUCUAAAUCCUAUAAAGCAAUUGCACAAUCCAAUUUUAAUGCUAAACACCCUAAACGUUGAAUCAAAGAAAAGAUACAAGUAUCAAUUUUUUCACUUGUAAUUCAUUUCUUCUGCAAAGAACAAACUUAAGAUACAAAAAGAAUUAUAAAGAAUAGCAUAAGAACAAACAAAGAAAUACUACCCCAUUGUUUAGAUUUAGCAUAUCCAAUAAACUCUUCUAAUCAUCAUCAAAUAAUAACACAACAACUAAGGGUGUGUUUGUUAUGAGCAUAAUGGAGGUAAUGUAUUACCUUCCAUUAACUAUUUUGGCAUGUCAAGGUGAACUUUUAACCCAAUUCACUAUUAACCCUACUUGCAAAUUUGUUAACCUAGGGGAGAGUGGGGUAAUGGCUUGUAAUGUGAAUAUCUUUAAGGAGGUCUUGCUCUUGUAACUAUUACAAAUAAAUAUUAUUAUUUCAACAAACAUAUUACCAUAAAUAAUUGCUAUAAAAAUGAUAAAAAGAAAAUAUUUUUGUUAGUAAAAAAUAUUUUAAUAUUAUUAUAAAAAUUAUUACAAUAAAAAAUAUUCUUAUUAAUAUACACUUCAAUAAGGCUAUGGCUAGCAUAUAUUGUUCAUGCUUCAAACCUAAAGGCUCUUGACUGUUGGGGGCAUGUUAAAGGUGUAUGUAUAUAUAGAAUGUAUGUAUAUUCUUAAAGACUUCACCAACAGUUUAAGCUUUUAAAACUUCAGUGGUUUCUUGACAGAAUACAACUAAUAGAAUGUGAAAUUGUGAAUGGCAAGCCGACAUGCACCAAAUGCAAGAGCUAAUGAAACUAUUAGCCAUUCAAAGAGUAAACCCAAAAAGGUUAUUGCUCACCUUAAUUCAAUCUCUAGUUUCCUACAGUACACAGUUGUAAACUUAUAAUUGGCACAAGUCAGAAGACCCAAAUUUAAGCAUACCAUUUCCUUGGGAUGACUAGAGGAUAAAAGGUCCUGCAGAGAAGAGACUAAUCUUUGUUCCAAUCCAUCAGAAAUCAGCUUCACCGCCUCAUCUCUAACAAAAUUUUCUCCUUUUGAGCUAAUCCCGACAUAUACUGCACGCAGAUUGCAAUAGCAGGUAUUAGGGUAUUAAGUUUCACAAUUCAGCUCAUCAACCAAAUAUAUUGUUGGGGUGGAAAUUUCUAGGUUAUGAGACAAAUGGUUCCUGCAUUCUGUUACAUCAUAGAAUAUGGCAAGAAAACACCUAAGAAUUGUAGGAUGUGAAAACAGAGGAUCAAAAGAAUAGCCAGGACAAACUUACAAGCAUGCAUGAGAAUCUGCCUGGUACACUUCAAUAAGCACUGACGCUCAAUGUAGUACUGAAGCAAUAUCUUCACAAUAAUAGGAACUAAUAAAAGCAUUAGACACAUUUCUAAUUACAGAUACAAUACUUGACAAAAAAAAAUAGAAAAUUGAUUAAAAUUACUGCACCACUCUAACCACAAAAAAAUUAUUAUUAAGAAAAUAUAUAAUAACCAAAAAUUUGUGGAUCUUUUAAAAAAUGUUAAGAAAAUUGAUAACAGGCAGAAAAUAAUUAUUAAGAAAGAGUCAAUAUUGCAGCAGUCAGGAGAUAUAACAUAAGAUGCAUUGCAAUUGCUAAAAAUAAAACUAUAUAAAAUGAUAACAUUCACUCAAACGCACUAAUUGCUCUCUCUCUCUGCCCCCCCCCCUCUUUAAUUUUUUUCUUCCUUAAGGGUAUAGUUGCCAGGUUCCAAGCUGAGGUCUACCUCAUGAUACAAAGGGUGCCCUUAAAUAUUUCUCACAAUGGCACCAGGCAAUUAAGUAUACAACUGUUAAAUAACUCAAGAUUUUGCAAUAAUGACAUAAAUUACCAUCAUACAAACACUUAAACAUAAACUCGUAUCCAAGAUUUUAUUGGAACGCAACACAAAAGCUAAAGAGGCAAGAGCAAAAACGCUACUAACCACAUGGAGAUAUUCUUCAACUAUGGAAUCAACAGCUAAGCCAUUGCUUUCAAGAGAUCUUUCCACAAGAAUAUACGACUGCACCUCAUCUAAACCCUGAAAUAACGAAAUAAACAACCAAACAAGAAAUUAACGCAGUACAUAUACAGCCAAGAAAAAGCACAGCAGCAAAAAAUUCAUUAGAAGAAAAAGUAUAAAGAUCAAACAUAAGCGGAACAAGUAAUUUUGCAUGAGGAAAAUCAAUUCCAAAUAUAAAAUUGGGAGGGAGGGAAGGAGGGCAUUAAGAUACCAACCAAAUAGGAACUAAUUUGCAAAGCUUUAUCUUUCAAUUCAGGCUUGAUUGUCAAUUCAUGACAGCCGAUUUUCACUUGCUGCGAAUUCAAAACCUCUCUUGACUUUGCAUUUGGAGGCUUGAAGAGAGACACGGUAUCCACGAACCACGAAUGAUUAUCCUUCAACUUCUUCGCCUUCAAAGCCACAUAAAAUAAAUAUACAGAACAUCAACAAAAGUAAAAGCAAAUGAUUGACAGGCGAGAGAGAUAGAGGCGUUUACUAUGGAUGGAGGGAGGUCGGAAGAAAGAGGAGCGUUUUCGAGUUCAGUGAGAAGAGAAGUGAAAGGAUCCCACCAGAGGAAGGAAUCUACAGAAUUAGGGUUCGACAUUGGGAGGGAUUAAGAGCUUCAGAGGAAUGAAAUCAAAACCCUACAAGAAAAAAAAAUGAGAGCAGCAGCAGCAGUAGCAGCAACGGAUUGAUUUGAUUUUUCGCGCUCUUAAAAAGAUUUAUUUCAGCAAAGAGCGCUCGAACCGGUGCGUGAGUGAGAGCUUGAGUUGCUGCUUAGUGCUUUCGGUACUACUAACUAGCUAGUCGCUAGGGUACAACCGUCUACCAAGCCAGCUGCGUCUGACAAAACGACGUCGCAGGAAAAAAGACAUGAGCCUGUUAAAGAAGCCGCCCUGGUCGUCCAACGCAUGGAAAGCAAAAUUAGGUGAAAAUGAAAACGGCAAUUAAACUCAUUUCAUUCAUAAAUUUAAUUUAUUUUGGGUAAAUUAAUUUGGCUGAAUUUAAUUUUUAAUUUAAGAAUUUUGGUCUAUGAGAUUCAGAUCGUUUUUGAGAAAAAAUCAAUUUUGGUCUAUGUGUUUAAAAUUCUGGCAUAUUCUUCAUUUCUUUGUAAUUUCUUGUAAUUUUAUAAUUGGUGUCAUGUUGUUGCUCGCAAUUUUAUAAUUGACAUAUUUAGUUAACUGUUGUUUUCAUUGCUUGUAAUUUUAUCAUUUCAGGAAUAAUAAUUUCAUUUUUUUUUAUUUAAUUUCUUUGGAAUUAAUUAUUUUAAUUAAAUUGAUAAUACAAUAAAUGGAUUUAGAUUACCAGCAAAAGAAUAGAGCACAAACAGUGGCGAAGCCACAUGUAUUGUAAGGUGGGCCAUUGCGCACCUUAUUUUUGUUUCUAUUUUAAUUUUAUUUUUUUAUUUUUUUAGAUUUUAUAAUUUAAAACUAAUAUUUGUCCAUUUUAUUUAAAAAAAUAAAUAAAAAGCUUAUUAAAAAAAUAAAUUAUAUUAAUAUGAAUUGAAUUAAAUUUUAAUCGAAACUAGAUGAACGAUAUUAAUAAAAAUUAAUAAAAAAUAAUAUAUCUUAUAUUUUUUUAAUUUAUAACUUAUAAUUUUAAUGUUCACAUAUUUAUUUUAGAUAAUAAUAAGUUUAUCCGAAUAAAUUUGAGAUAUCUCAAAUUCUACUCUUUCAAAUUUUCGAUCUUUAUUUUAAGAAAAAAAUUAAUGUAUAUUAUGUAUUACAAUAUAUCUAUUAAAAAAUAUUUCUAGUAUAAAAUGUGAGUAAUUAGUUAUAUAAUAUAAUUAAAUAUUAAUAAUUUUUAUAUAUUAUUUGAUUACAUAUAUUAAAAAUAUUUAAUAUAUUUUUAUAAAAUUAAACAAUUAAAAUAUUAUAUUAAGUUCUCUAUAGAAAUUCGUAGGGGAAUAUAUUUUUAUUUUUAUUAAGUUUUUAUACCAUAAUUUUUUUUAUUCUUAUAAAAUUAUUUUUUCACAUAAAUAAAUUUAAUUCUACUUUUUGGUUUUUUCAUAACAUAUUAUUAGCUUAUAUUAAUAUACUAUAAUUAAACAAUUCAACUUACUAAUAUUUUUAAACAUAAGGAUUUUUAUUUUUUAGUUAAUCACUCAAUUUGAUAAAAAAUUUAUUAAUUAAUUUCUCUAUAAUAAAAAUUUUUAUAGAGAGAAAAAUAAUAUCAAGCCGAACUUUAUUAAUGGUUUUAAAAAUAUGAUCCAUUGUCCUAAAUAUUCAAGAAAUGUGAAUCUAAAUUCAAAAAUUUAUAAUUAAAAAGAAGGAGCAAGUUAGUUAUGGUUAUGGAAAAAAAAUGUCUAAUUUUAAUGAUGUUGAAGUAUUAGGAUUGACUGGAAAUGAGGGAAAAAAAAUGAAAUGAGAAAAAAUAGUGAUGCAAAAAGAAAGAAAACAUAUCAGGGAGAAGGUAAUAGUACUGUUGCUUCAAAAAAUUUUAAAAUUCCACAAAGUGACAGAGAGGCCUAUGAUACUUUUUUUCCCAUAAACUAGUUGUCUGAAGCAAACUACGUAGAAGAAAACAAUCUAACUAAAAAAAAUUAGGGGAGCGCACUUGUAUUGUUGCAAUUAAAUAUCUGUUAAUGUUGUGAAUUAUGAUAAUUUUGGAUAAAUAAUUUACGUUGGGAUAAAUUAUACUUGCGUUUUUAGUUUUUAUAUUUUUAAAAUUAAAUAUUUAAAUUUAAUGUUUUGAUAUCAAAAAAAAUAGAGUUUAUAAGGGUUGUAUAAUCUUAGGUGGAGAGAAAUGUAUUUCUUUCCUUUUAUUAUUUUUCCCUUUAUCUGUUAGCAAUGCUUAAUGGCCUCUCUGCUAUACAGAAUUGAACAGGUCCGUAUGUGCGAGGGGUGUUAGACGUCUUUUCCAUAUCAGGCGGCCAUUUAAUUCCCCCGGCACAUAUGCAGGCAGGGCUGGAGGUGACUGGACUUGCUGUCCUUUCUCCUGUCACGUUGCCAAGCUGAACUCGUGAUUAGUGUGGAUGGAAUUAUGAGUGGCUUGGUUCGCUCUGUGAGAUUAAGUUAGAGUUGAAAGGAUUGGACCGGCCUAUUAGAUAAACUUCAUGGGUUUCGGCUAGUACUGCUUUUAUGGACUCGGCCCUCUAUAGAAAUGCGUAAACCCGAGAGUCAUCGAAAUUCAUUUAUAAUCGAUUUGUUCAAACUAUAAUCAUUUUAUUCAUUUAUUGAUAUUAAAAUUGUGAAAAUAUCGUUAUUAUCACUUUUGAAAUUUAAAAUGUGGAGGAACAAUGAUUCCAUCAAUUUUUCUCUCAUCUAUGAAAAUUUAGACAUUUUUAUUUUUUAUUUUUUAUUUUAAAAAUAUUUAAGUCUCUAAUAAUUUUUAUCCAUAUUAUUAUAUUCAACUAAUUUUUUAUUUUUUAAUUCCAUUUAUUAAAAUAUUUCUGUUGAUAAUUUCAAACUUAUAGAAAUUAAUUUUUUCAUUCCAUUUCUAUAAAAAAACUUACAACUUUCACUAUUUUUAAAUAGUGUAAUUCACGAAUAAAAUUAAAUUAUUAAAAGUCGGACCACCAUUAAUUUUGAACUAAGUUUAUAAUAGAUGAAAAGACCGUAGUUUUGGAUAAAUUAAAUAUAGAGAAUUUAAUGAUUUAAUUUUAAAAAUACAUGGACUAAUUUAUUAAUUAUAUUAAAAAUAAAAAAUUAAAGUAUAAUUUAUUCAAAAUAAAUGUUGUUUUAAUAAAUUAAAGUAUAAUUUAUUCAAAAUAAAUAUUUCGGUCAUAUUAUAGAAAUUCAAGUGUUUAUGAAUAUAUUUUAAAUAUUUAAAUUUUUUUUACAUGUUAAUUGAUAUAAUUAUGGAUGAAAAAAUUUUUAAUUUGAAUAUACUAAUUAAUUAUAGAAAAAUUUAAGUAUUUUAUUUUAAAAAUAUUGAUCGUGUAGAGAAAUUUAAAUAUUUUAUUUUAAAAAUAUAGUAAUCAAUUUAUUAAUUAUAUUAAAAAUUCAAUAAGCUUAAUUUAAUAAGCUUAUUAAUAAAAUGAAAAUAUAUUUUUGAAAUUAAAAUGUCUACAAUUAUACUGGCUUUCCUGUGUAGCUCAUCGUGUAGAUUUAAUUUUGGAGGAAACCUUUAAGCUUCAAGUUUUCAAAGACACAUUCUAUAAAACUGUUAACGCUACAAGAAUUUUAAUGAAUAAGUUUAAUAGAGUAGAGUUGCUUAGAUUGGGAGCAAACCAAAUUUGCUACUUCUUUUUAUUGCAUUGGGCAAAAUUCAUCUUUAAAAGGAAAAUAUUAAAAAAUAUAUUUGUUUACUUUAGAAAGCAGGACAUGGGGCAAACGGUUUAAAAGGGUGAAAGAUAAGAAGUGUGAAAGAAUAAUUUUGAGUUAUUUCUUUUAAAAUCAUGUCGUAUAUGCUCGUAAGAUUCUCGCCCUCCAGUUUGUAUACUUCAACUUAUUGAUAAUGAAAAAAAGAAAAAAAAGCUGUGGGGUUAGAGCGGAUUCAAAAAUUUAAAUUAUGGGUAAUGAUAAUUUGAGAUACAAAAAAUAGGGUUUUACAAGGGUUUUGUAAAACUGGAAAAAAUUUAAACUUAGAGGAGAUUAUUUCUCAUUUUAUGUGUUUUUUUUUUCCCGCUAGUGACGUGUAACAGAAUGCGUGUCAUUGGACCACGUGUCUCUGUCACGUAUAACGACUCCUAAUUCUCUCCGGGCAUGCAUGCGGAUGGUCUCAUAGGGUGAAUGGUUUCACAGGGCGAAUGGGCUGAAUUCCUUUCUGGUUCCAAACUGGGCCGGAAGAUAAUGUUAAUACUAGGUGCAAAGGGAAUCUGUUCAUUGGACCGGAAGAGUUGGGCCAGCCUGAUUGAAGAAACUGACUGAAAUCCGAUCUUUAAGCUGAAUGGGCUGGACCUGAUUAUUGGAUGAAGUUUAAAAGUUUUCAGAUUAUGGGCUUUUCCGAUGGGUCUGGUCUUAGAUCGGGGCGAAAAAAUCCAGCGGUUAUGUGGUAAAAUAAAGUUUUUAAAUUGUAAUUCAAAAUAGCCGAAAAAAAUUUCCAUGAAAAGAAUUUUUGCAAGUUGAAUCAAUUUAUCCAUUUUAAAUUUUAUUUUUUUUAUAAUUUAAAUAAUUUAAUCUAUUAUUUUAAAAGUAUUGUUUUGAUUUUUCUAUAUUUAAGAUUCUUUAAAAAAAAUUAAUAAUCUAACUCAUAAAGUAUUAAAUUUAUUUUUUGCAAAAUUUUUUAAAUUUAAAUAAUUUAUGAAGUCUAUUUAAUCAUUUAAACCAUAAUUAAAAUUAUUUUUUAAAAAAUUAUAAAAUUUAUUUUUAUAAAUUUAUAUAGUCUAAAAUAUAAUUUUUAUCACAAAUUGAAAUAAAUAACGGUAAGUAUACUUUUUAAUGUAUAAAAAUAAAUUAAAUAAUAAAUGAAUAACUUAUUUUUUCAAUAUUUUAAAAAUAAAAAAUUAAAUAAAAUAUUUGAAGUUGCAGUCCUGAAGUUUAGAAAUAAUUUUUCUUUAUUAAAAAAGAUAAGGAAAGAGAGUGAUUAUAAUAAAAUAUUAUUUGGGAUUGUGAUUUUAUUUAGAAGAGAAUUACUAUUAAAUUUUUGAAAUUUUUUUAAAAAUUUUAGUUUAUUUUUAUAUUAAAAUUAUUUAUUUAUUAUAUUUUAUAAAUUAAAUUGUUUAUUCUAUUAUUAAAAAAUUAUAUUAUUCAACUUAUUUUAACAUUCAUUAUAAAAAAUAAAAAAUAUAAAUAUUUAAAUUUAUAAAUAUUAAAUAAUAUAUAUAUAAUUAUAUAGAUAAAUAACAUAAAUAUUUAAAGCAUAUUAAUAAAUUUGAAAUAAAAAAAUUAAAAAGUUUAAUUUUAUAAAAUACAAACACAUUUUAAUUAUAUAAUUUUUAAAUAAAGAUAAACUAAUAAAUUUUAUAACAAAUCAAGAAUUUAAUAAUAGUUCUUCUUUUAUUUAUUUAAAAUUAAUGAAAUAUUACUUAAGCACUCCAACAUGUUUCAGAAAAUUUCAGAAGGACAUGGCUGGCUUGUACUCACAUUCAUCUGUUCCUAUAUGGAAUAUAUUUAUGAAUCUAAUUAAAAAAUUUUUAAAUUAAUACUACACAGUAGACACAAUUAAAGAAAAAAAAUACGUGGCAAGACUAUACAGCAUCUGAGUUGCGUGAUUACAGUCGCAGUAGUCGAGAAUGUUGAAACUAGGCUUGCUCAUCCUGUCAGACAAUGACUAGUAGUUAAGAUUUUUGUCUUUAUGCGUUUCAACAGUCAAACAGGAAUUCAAAAAUUCAGCCUUAAGAAUUCUUUAUAAUUCUCAAUCAGUUUUUAAGAGCCGCAUUUUCAGAUAGGUAUCCCUUUUGUUCUUAUAAGUUCUGUCAAUGACCUUUUUACCUCAAGUGUCGUCAAUGAAUAUUCAAAGUGUCAUGGUAAGAUUCAUUGCAUUGAGAAAAUAGAUCAUCUAUGAAUUGCGAAUGAUUAAUUUUUUAGUGAAAAAUUUAUCUGGAAUCUUGCGAAUGAUUCAAAGUGUCAUGUACACUCACACUUGUUAUAAUUUUUUAAAAUAGAAAUGGUUGAAUAUCAGAUCAAAAAUGGUCAUCUUGUACUUGCAGCAAUUAAAAUACGUAAUGCAGGCCGUACUCAAUUAAAAUUUAAAAGCACUCUGUCUAGCAACAGACCAUAAUAUAGCAAUUUACUAAUUUGGAAAUUACAGAAUGAAAGUAACAUGAAAUUGCUGUUAUAUUUAUUUCCAUGUGUAGUUGAUUAAAGGACAACCUUAAUUUUCAAACCACACAUGAAGGGAAUCUAGUUAAGAAACCAUUCAUUACGUAGAAGCCUUUAUUAUAAUAAUUUAUAUAUACCAGCAAGAGUAAGAAUCAAACAGUGAUGUUCAUAUCCUACUUGUGCCUUGCAAGGAUACUGCAUAAUAACUUAUAAAUGGUGGCAAGAGGUCUAUGGGUGAGGAGGAAGCUUGGGAAGAGGAGGAAAUGGCUUCUUAUGGUGAUGAAAUGGAGGGAUCUUUGGGAUGGGAGGGAUAGGCUUGUAGAAUACUGGUGGUUUAGGUUUCUUGAAUAUUGGAAUAUGAGGUGGAAGUGGCUUCUUGAAUAUUGGAAUAUGAGGUGGAAGUGGCUUCUUGAAUAUUGGGAUCAGUGGUUUCUUAAAAAGUGGAAUAGGAGGUGGAAGUGGUUUCUCAAAUUUUGGAAUCGGCGGCGGCAAUGGUUUCUUGUAAAUCGGAAUAGGUGGUGGAAGUGGUUUCUUGUAAAUUGGUAUUGGAGGAGGCAAUGGUUUCUUGUAAAUUGGUAUUGGAGGCGGAAGUGGCUUCUUAUAAACUGGUAUCGGCGGUGGAAGUGGCUUCUUAAAAAUGGGUAUUGGCGGUGGAAGUGGUUUCUUAAAAAUGGGUAUCGGCGGAGGAAGUGGUUUCUUAAAAAUGGGAACAUGAGGAGGGUAAACUUUGGGAGGCAGUGGAGGAAACACUUUAGCACCAAAGAACAAUGGCUGAUCAACUACAUCUUGUGUCUUAUCAUCGCCAUAGCUGAAAGAGGCAGCAAACACCAAAGAAACAAAUAAGCACAGAAGUGCUCCUCUAAAAACAGAGAGAAUUCUCAUUGGGAACUAAUCUUGAUGGCUCCUUAAAGAAAACCAAGGAAGUGAUGGAGGACUUGUUGCAGACAAUUAGCUUCUUAUAUAGUAUGUUAAAGGAAGUGAUAGGACAUAUGACAAGCUCAACUGCACAUAAUUAAGGCCUCAAAUGCUGGAAACAAGUGAAGGCUUAGUCCCAAAGCUAACAUAAAUAUCAUUACAUUAACAUUUUCCUAAUCUGACGGCUGCUUUUCACAUUCAUAAGAGCUCUAGCUCUAUCUAAUUUUAUAAAUAUAAUUAUUAUUAUGUCUCUAUAAUUUAAAUAAAUUAUCAUUGUAUUUUAUAAAUUAAUUAAAAAAUAUUUAUAAGUUAAUUUAAUACCAUUCAAUUUAAGACCGUCUAACCCUAAUCCAUCAAUAAAUAAAAAUUUUCUAACUCUAUAAUUACCUUUCAAACCUAUCUCCAUCUUUAAAGCCUACCUAACUAUCGCAUCAGCUAAGGUGGCAAAUUUUAAUACUCACUCUAUUUUAUAAAUAUAAAUUUAUUUUAAUUUUUCAUUUAUCAUAAUUUUUUUUUAAAUUAUAGUUUAUUUAUUAAUUUAUUAAUAUAUUUAUAUUUAAUAUUUAUUAAAAAAUAAAAUUCAUAAAUUUUUAAAAUAAUUUAGUAAUUUGAGUUGUCAUUGUUUUUUUUUACCAAAAAUAAAAUUACUUCAUUGAAAGAGGAGUACAAUACAAGAACCCAUAAAAAUUAAUCUAAAACAAAAGCACUAAGCCCACACUUGAUCUGCCUAUAAUAGAACUAAACCCCGUAUAAUAGUAAAAACCCUAGAGAACUGAGUUAAAUCGACUCGAGAGAGCAACUCUGAUCAAGAAGCAGAGUAUCACUGCAUUGGCAUCCUUGCCAGGGAGAUGAGACUAAACACGUUGCUAAUGACUUUGCCACCACUCUCCAACACUCAACAAGGUAAGCGACUCUAUUAAGCAAAAAGAAAGAUAAUCACCAAGAGCCCUCACAGUCGAGAACCAAAAAAUUCAGGGAAACAACAAAGGGCCACAGAAAAUCAGGGACCAAAAGGAUCUUUAGGCAACUUGGCAAUGCUCCUUGGCAGUCUUAGUCAUUUGAGGGACCGAAUGUUGCACUCACAUGAUGGCAUUAGUGGUGUUCCCAAAGUUACUAUGAUCAAAAGCAAAUAGAAAAUUCGAAGAUCCCAGAGGAAGAGGUCGAUUCAACAUCAGCGCAGCCUGAAACUCUUCCAGAAAAAGGCUUUGGGACUUCCCAAUACUCCCAUGUAGAGUGGAUAAUCUUUUAUAGAGCACACUUGCAAGACAAAUAAACAAACCAAAAGAUAUAUAAAAAUUAAUGAAAUUUUUUUUUAUGUUUUAGAAUGAAAAUUAAUGAAAAAAAUUAAUGUAAAAGUAGAAUUAAAUUUAUGUUUUAGAAAAUUUUUUUUAUAAGAAUAAAAAAUUUAUUGUAUAAAAAUUAAUGAAAUAAAAAAUAUAUAUAUCCCAUAUGAAUUUCUAUAUAUAACUUAACAUAAUAUUUUAAUUGUUAAUCUAAUAAAAAAAUAUGUUCUUAAUAUAUGUAAUCAGAUAAUAUAUAACAAAGUAUUAAUAUUCAAUUUUAUUAUAUAAUUAAUUAUUCACUAUUUUUAUACUAGAGAAUAUUUUUUUAAUAGAUAUAAUGGUAACAUAUAACAUCAUAUAUUAAAAUUAGAAGUUUAUAAAUUAAAAGAUAUAAAAUAUAUUUAUUUUUUUAUUAUUUUUAAUAAUAUCAUUAAUACUGGUCACGGUAAAAAUCUUUAAUUCAAUUCAAAUUAAUAUAACUAAAUAAGUCAAAUUAAAAAAAAAGGUGACGUUUUUUUAAAUUUGUUAAAAGAGCGGGAGGUACAUAUUAAUUUUAAAUUAUAAAAUAAAAAAAUAAAAGAAAAUUUUAAAAUAAAAUAAAAAUAAGGUGGGAAUUGCCAUCUUCAAUUACAUGUUGCUUCGCCAGUGGCUUCAACGAGAGCAAUCCCUGCUUCUUAGCCCUAUUUCUAGUCUGCAUGCCCAACUACAUAGGCAUGAAUAAUGAACCAAAUUAACAGCAAUAGCGGCGACAAUCUCUUCCCAACAAGUUUCUAAAAUAGUGUUGAACUUGCAUUUUCCUUUGAACUCGAGAUGUAAGGCUAAAAGGAUGAAAAAGGUCAGAACAAGCAUACAAGUGAAUGGUGUGGCUGAGGCACAGUGUUUUUCUUUUUUCUUUUUUUUUUUUCUUUUACCAUAUCACUAGGAAGACUCACUUUGAACUUUCCUUCUUCAUCAAGCUCAACAGAGAUCUCCUUGUUUUGAACUUUCCAUUUUCUACCUUGCAAUCAGUUGUUACAUGAAGCCCAGCAACAAAUCAAUAAUGCAUAAGAUAUCAUCUUCAAAAUAUAGUGCAAAAUCAUAGGUUAGCACUCUUUAACAUUAUCCAAUGAGCUUUCACACAGUGGUGCGAGUGAGAUAUCGAGUUUAAAUUCUAACUAAAAAUAAUAAUAAAAAAAUAAUGAGAUUUAACUCGAUAAUAUUAGUCAUUUUCAAAAUUAUUAAGUUCUCAAAUUUAUAUUAAAAAAAUCAUGAAAAGUUAUUUAUGAGUUCGAAUUUAAGUUCAACUUAAUUUUUUUUUUAAAAAAAAUUAAAGCUAAUCCAUAUUAAAAUUAUAAUUCAUGAUUAGAACUAAUAUGAUAUUUGUCUCUUAAUUUGGAGACAACUUUAGUUUCAAUGUUAGAUAAAUAAAACUUUUACAUAUGGAGAGAUGAAUUAGUCUCGUGGUAGGCAAUGGUGAUAAUUUAAAAAAUUAAAGACAUUCAUUCAUAUAAAUAGAAAUGACUCUCAAAAUUAUCCACCGAUGACCGUUGGCUUAUUGACACCCAAGUCUCAGUCGAAUCCUUAUAGGAGAAUCAGAUCCAAGACCUUCAGAGUCCACUACGCAAGCUGGCCCAUAGCAUACAAUCAAGUCUAUGAUUGAAGCAGGCCGGCUGACCAGGGGCCAGACUUAUCAAGGAGGAACUCAGCUCAUCUGAUGUGAUGGGGUAGGAGAGUAAACGCAGCUAUCCACGACUCUAUCAGCACUAGCGUCGGAAUGGAAUUAAAUGACUGUUUGACGAUGUUAGGCAAGUAGGUAUGCCCGUACGUACAGUUCUGUAUAAUAGUGACAGGUGAUACUCUAACAGGGCAAUUAUACGUCAGUAGAGAAUAAAGGAAAAAAGAAUUAAAAGAGGGAGGUCUGAACCAUUCAUGCCAAAUUUACUAAUUCAUAUUAAAAUCCUAUUUUUUUUGAAUUUCAGAUUAUCAUCCAUUAAAAAUUUGAGAUGCUAGAUAAUUUUUAUCAUUUUCUAAAUGAUUUCUAUAAUUUUAAAAGUCAGUCGGUUUUAUUUUUUUAUAUAAUAUUAGUAGAAAUAAAGGAAAAAUUAAAAAAAAAAAUUUUACAAAAUAACAAAUAAUUUGGGAUAAAACAACUUGAUGACAAGAGUAUAUACCUAGAAAGAGCAUACAUAUGAUUCAGAAAAAAAAAAUAUAUAUAUAUAUAUAUAUAUAUAUUUUUCCUCAAAGUCCUAUGAUUCAGAAUAUUUUCAAUUCCAUCUUGUGUAUCUCCUAAAUAGAAAUGCACAUAGCUGAAAGUGCCUGGCUGGUCUUAACGUUGCUUCCUUCACAGUCUGAACAUUCUCCUAUUCUAACUACUAUGCGGAGUGCUCCUCCCAAAAAAAGGAAGAAUCCGCAUUGGAAACCACACCAAUGCCCUAGCCUCCUGAAAUCAACAACACCUCACAAAAUUAAAGCCAACCUAAAUUAUUUCAUAUAACUUUUAUAUAUAUAAAACUAUAUAUUAGUUGUUAUUAUAAGGAAUGGAUUCGUAAAGCAAUUAAGCACACCCUGCGAUGCCCAAGUACUUAUUACAUGAGGCUGUAUAUGGACCCUAUGAGAUAAGCUUGUUUACGGUUUGAAUAUGACAGUAACGUGCACAUACCACCUUCUUCAAAUCAAAGCAUUAUCUUUCAUUCAAUGUGCUCUCAACUGUAAAACCUACUUAUCAUUUCCUCAUUAAUAUACUUUACCUUUAACAUACCAUGAAAUGCUCAUACUUGAAGGCAUGCAACAAAAAAAUAAAAUUAUACCCAAAUUUUGAUUUGACUAAUUUUUUAUUGUUUCAAUUUCUAUUCGAUAUGAUUCUCAAUUUUUCGGUUCAAUAUGAUUUCAGUUCUAAUUCUUCAUUCUUCAUAUAAAUUUAUACAUUUUUUAUAAAAAAUUAUAUUUAUUUAUACUUAAAUUAUCGUUUAAAUUUUAAAGUUAGUUAUUAAUAUAAAUUAUAUGAUAUAAUACAUAUUUAAACAAUUUACAAUUUAUAUAAAGUGUAUAAAUAUACAAAAUUAACCAUGAAAAUGAUAAUAUAAUUAUAUCAUUUAAUAUAUAUUUUAAUUACAUUUCUAUUAUAUUAUUUAAGUAACAGAUGACUAAAUAUAUUAUAAAUAUGGUAGUACAUUUUUAAUUAAGCAAGAUAAAUAAUUUAAUAUUUUUAUAAUCGAAGUUAUUAAGAAAAUGUAUAUGAAUAUAAAAUAAUCAUAGUAUGUAAAUUGUUCAUAAUUUUAAUGUAUAUACACAUAAUGUAAUAUUAAUGCGUAAAAAUAAAUAUAAUAUUAUUUAUAGUAUAUAAUAUAUCUAAAAGUUAUAAAAAAAAUAUGUGUAUAAAAUUAAAUUUCAAUUUGCUAUGAAUUCGAUAUAAUUUUAAUUAAGACGGUCCCAAAAUAAAUAUAAUUUUAAUUAAUACAGUCCCAAAAUAGUUUUAAUUCGCUUUUUCAUUGAAGAAGUAGAAUUAAAUCCAAACUAUAAAAUCAAUUUGAAUCGAUAUAAUUUUUAAUAUUUUCUUAUCAUUUUUUUAAAUCGGUACAAAACUCAACGAUAACUCAAAUAUAUAGUAAAAAAGGGAAAAAUACUGGUCGCCGAAAAAACAUCAAAAUUCAAAUAAAAUUAAAAACAUUGUAAGAUAAAUAUUAGAUGGACGUUGAAGAAUGAAGAUAAAUUACAAUGUGAUUGUGAGUACAAUGUAAUUAUGUAUGCCAUUUUGUCAACCAAAAAUUAAUUAGGUAUUUCGAAAAAGCGAAAAUAAGUUGAAUUAAAUCUCCAUAUUUUUUAAGGAUUAAAUAAGUUUAAUUAUUCAAGUUUCUAUAUUUUUAUUAAGAGUUAAAUAAAUCUUAAAUAAUAUAAUAUUAUUUUUUAAUAAUAAAAUAUUAUUUUAAUAAUUUAAAAAUAAAAAGUUUAGUACUUUCAUUUCUAUAAAAAUUUAAAAAAUACAUAGAUACAAUAAAUAAUUUUUAAAAUUAUAAAAAUAAAAUUUUAUCAUAUAAAAAUGUUUUUAUUAUUAAAAAUAAUAUUAUAUUUGAUGAAAACUUAUUUAAUUUUUGAAUAAAAGUAUAAGGGUUUAAUUGGUCUAAAAUUUUGAAUUUGACUAUUUGGCUCUUAAAUAAAAGUGUAGGAGUUUAAUUUGACUUAUAUCCAUUAUAGUACUUGAUGUGGCUAAAACGAAACUAUACUGCGAUUGAUAACUCAUAAAAAAGAGAAUAUGAGGUGGUUGGCGCAUACGGUAGUCACUCCGACGCUCAUAUCAGUAAACUGAAGAAAAAGGGCAAAUAUAAGAAUUGUUUAGAACUCAAUAGUAGUUGUGUAAGAAUAUAUACCUUGAUCUUUGCGAUUAUUAGCUUUUAUACGAUAAGAAGAUUAAAUUAAUUAUAGCAUCUCCUGAAAAUCAUAUUGGUAUGGGCUAAUUGAUAGGGGAUUAUGUGAUUAUAGGUAUAAUAAGGAUCUGCUGGAUUGCGAUCUCUAACAGUACCUUCCUAUGGAGUCUCACCCUAUAGGUUGAGAGGGUAAGCCUUGACGAAGAGUUGAGAUCUGAUGCGUCGGUCUUCUUUUCCUUUGAUGGGACCGGGUAUAAUCUGAUCAGACUCUUGACACGUGGUCUUGUCUUUGAAUGUCAACACAUGGCCUACCUUGGGCAAUUAUUGUGCUAUAUCAGAAAUCCUCCGUUACUUUUUGAUUAUUUAGAUUUAAAGGUGACAGUUGUCUUCAUAAUCUGGGGCACGUGACCUGUUUAGAUUGAGCUUCUAUGCUCGCGUCGCUUUGCUUAUUCUUGCCCAUAAUGAUAAUUGUCCUAUUUUAUAAUUUUCAGUUUUAAUGAGAAAACUUUCCUUCUAUAUUCUUUGUCAUUAUUUUCGGUAAGUGUUUAUAUACUUGAUACUCGACCAUAACUCUCGUCCACUUUCCUUCUAUAUUCUUUGUCAUUAUUUUCGGUAAGUGUUUAUAUACUUGAUACUCGACCAUAACUCUCGUCCGACCAUAACCAAAUAAAACUUUCAAUAAUCUCUUUAAAAAAUUAUUAAGGGAUUAAUACCUGAUCAAGCACCUGGCAACAUCUGCUUUUAGCCAUAAAAUAACUUUAAAAUUUUUUUAAUGGGACUUACUCCGUCUUGUGACUUACCUGACGAAUGCCUAUUUUGUAGCUAUAGAAAAAUAACUUAAAAAAUAAUAAAUCAGAUUUAACGCUUUCCAUGAUAAUAACUUAAAGGAUUUUGUUAAUCGAGACCGAUACUUGGUCGUUUAGCCUGGUGGAAAUCCACCUUAUAGAAUUUUUUGGCAGAAACUUAUCUUUAUCUUUUGGGACUGGCACUCAAAAACUCGCCUGGCGGUUACCUGCCUUGUGGCAUUUUUUGGUCAAAACUUGCCUUUGUCUUUUGGAACUAGCACCUAAAGACUCGACUGGUGGUUACCCGUCUUAUGACACUUUUUGGCCGAAACUUAUUUUUAUCUUUUGGGACUAGUAUCUCAAGACUCGCUUGGCGGAUACCCGCAUUGUAAUCUCGUAUAAAAUGCUUUAAAAACUUUUUAUAAAACAGGACUAACACCCGGUCUCUAGCCUAACGAAUACCUGCAUUGUGGCCUGAGCAUAAAAAUACUUUGAUUAGCAAGACUAACACCUGAAUUAUGUCAUGGUGGAUACUCGCUUUGUAGCAUGAUAUAAAAUGACUUAAAAACCUUUUGUGUUAGUUUAGUAUAAAAAUGACUUGGUUAGCGGAACUAACACCCAGAUUAUGGUCUGGCGGAUAUCCGUCUUGUAGCCUGACAUAAAAUGUCUUGUAUAGCAGGACUAACAUCCAGAUUAUGACUCAAAGGAUACUCAUCUUAUGACCUAAUAUAAAAUAUUUUGUUUAGCAAAAUUAAUACCCGAAUUAUGGCCUGCGGAUACUUUUCUUUUGGUUUUGACAUGAAAUGUCUUAUUUAGCGAGAUUAACAUUUGGAUUAUGAUCUGGCAGAUAUCCGCAUCGUAGCCUUAAUAUAGAAUACCUUAUUUAGCGAGAUUAAUAUCUAAAUUAUUGCAUGACGGAAUCCACCUUGUGGCUUUGACAUAAAAUAUUUUAUUUAGCGAUACUAACAUUCGGACUGUGGUUUGGUAGAAUCCGCACGUUGGCUUUAAUAAUAAAUGUUUUGUUUAGCAGAACACUCGAAUUGUGGCCUUCUUCUUAUUAUAUAAAAAAAAAAAAUUCAAAUGAUAAAUAUAGAAUGUACAAUACCGUUUAAAAUAUAAUUCAGAGAUCUCCAAAAAUUAUUACAACAUUGGCUGCUUCAAAGUUGACACUAAGCAAAAAUUUGGAAGAGCUAUUUUGGUGGUCUAGAUCUAAUAAUAAAUGGUUGAUAAGAAAUCACAUAUAUAAUCAAGAAAGCAACAUUUCAUAUACCGCACAGAACAAAGGGAUUUGUCGAGCUUGUCACUUUCUUAGGAAAAGUUUAAGAUUAAGGAUGUUGAUUAGUGGGAGAAAAAAAGAAAUAUUUAAAUGUGUUUUUUAAAACUUUAUAAAUUAAGAUUUUGUUUAAAAAUUCAACUUAAUUAGUUUUUAUAUUAAAAUUAAAAAAUUUAAUUAUUUUUAAUUUAAAAAAUUAAAAUCAUACCUAAUAUAAUAAGAAAUUAUUUAAUUAUUUUUUUAAAUAAACAUUUUGAAACAAGAUAUGGAGAGACAAAGGGCCUUUGUAUUGGAUCGUUGGCUGCAAUAAUGCGUGGGUUCAUGUCUAAUUAUAUUAUAAUUUUUUUUGUAUAAGCCCAAUUAAAAUUAUGUAUUUUUAGUCAAGAGCCAUUUAAUUUUUUUAUUAAAUAAACAUCUAAAAUUAAUUUGAUAUAAUAUUUUAUUUCCAUAAUUUUAAAAAUUAUUUAUUAUUUUUUGUGUUUUUAAAAUUUUAUAUUAUUGAAAUAAUAAAUUUUAAUAUUUUAAAUUAUAAAAAAAUAUUUUAUUAUUAAAAAAUUAUAUUAUAUUUGGUCAGCAUUUAUUUGGUCUUAAAAGUAUAAUUGAGGGAUUUAUUUGUAAAAAAAAUUAUAUUUGACGCUUAAUAAAAAAUAUAUAGACUUUUUUCCAUAAUUUUUUACUCACAAUGUUGAUAACCACCACACAGUAAAAUCAAUCCUUGUUCAACAUUCCAUAUUACAGAAAUCAAAUUAUACAGAAAAUAAAUAUUAAAAAGAUUAGAUGAAACCUUAUAAAAAUAUAAAGUUAAAAAUAAAAUAUAAAAUAUAAAGAGAAACAAAACAAAAUAAUAUAAAAAUAUGAAUAGGAUUUACAUAGAACUGUAGGAGUCAAAACAAAAAUUAAAAAUAUUAAAGAGACUUAACAAUAAUUUUAAAAAAAAUUAAAAUGAUUUUCAUGGGUAAAAUUUAAUUUGAAAAAAAUCGAGAAUAAACAGUAAAUUUGCAAUAUGUAUAUAUAUAAACUUUGUGGGUGAAAACUUUAAUUUUAAAAACUCCUGGAGACCAAGGCUCUCUAAGACACCACCUAAUUAUGCUUUCUUUCUACUAUUGAAUAAUAAUUCAUUAAAUCCCUAAACUAAAAUGAACUUUUAUUAAAUGGCUUCUAUAAAUUUAUAUAAUUAAACACAAUAUGAUGAUUAUUGAUAAUUUGUUAAAAAAAAAGUAAAAUUUUACACAUUUUUUAAUAACUAUGUUUAAAUUUUUUAAAAACAACAAAGCCCAUGCUCCAUUUUUUUUAAAACUAUCAUUCUCUAUUUUUUUUAGAGUAAAAUUGCCAUUUUUCCCCUUUUACAAUAAAUCAUUUGAAUGAUUCUGAUUUUUCUUAUAAAAUAAAAAUUAUUUUUUACAAAUUUAACACGACUAAUUUGCAUUUGAAUGGUGAACUUUUAUAAAUUUAGAUAUUUAAUAAAUUUAAAUUUUAGUUAGAUAUUCAGAAAAAAAUCGUAUAUAAAAGCAAGUACAUAUUUAGCGUAAAAAUAACCGAUUCACGUCUGCUUUCACAGGCGAGACAUAGAAGACCAUGUGCUGUGGCAAAGCAAGCCAAGCGAAACAAAACCAAAAAUUGAAAUACAAAAGCAAGCAUUUCAAAUAAGAAAUUUAUAAAGGUUCAAGAAAAUCAUAUCUAUCCUUUUCCUACCUCAGAUGAAGUUAGUCAUCCUCAAAAAGGCUCAACUUCCAAAAUUCACGUUUUUUUUUUUUUAAAAAAAUGUAAACAAAUUUCUUUCACAUGCUACAACAGAGAAACAUAUCUUUCUGGACUAAAUUUCGGUAACUACAUCAACUUAUGAGCUCUCAAAUACCCUAAGCGUGAGUUACAGGUUUGUGCAGUGCCUUGCCUUGUUCAGCUGACUCAGCUACUGACACAUCUACUUCUUCUUCUUAGAUUUGCUGGACAACGACUGAGUGUACGCAGUUCCCUGAACAUCCAGAAAAAAAUGUAGAAAUGCAUUUCAUUAGAAACAGUUUCUUGCACCCGAAAUGAUGUUCAAAAUGAAGAUAAUCAUGCCAUGUAUUUAAUGGAAACAACAAAUUUUUUAAGCGCUUAAAGUCCAAAUUUGCAUUAAAAAAUGCUAACUUUCAUGUUUCGGUCUAAAUUUGCUUAUGAACUAAAGUCCAAAUAAGCCCAAAUAGCCUACUAAGAUAAGCCUAUGCUAACUUUCAUGUCUCGGUCUAAAUUUGCUUCUGAACUAAAGUCCAAAUAAGCCCAAAUAGACUAAAGAUGAGCCUAUGCUGUCCUCGGUCUGUUUAGACUAAUUUGGACUUAUUUAGCCUUUUAAUAAUACUUUAGGACAAAUUUGAACCAAAACAUGAAAUUUAGCAUUUUUUACCCCGAUGUAUAGUUUAAGGGCAAAUUUGGCCUCUUUUGCUAUUUUUAAAGAGGGGCCACGUUUUCAAAUCCAUGUCUCGGUCAUGCAUGAUAAAAACAUGUAAACCCCACAAACCUGAAGCCAUUCAUCCAUUGAGACAUCCCUAGUCCCAGUUCCAGUUUCCACCUUAGGAGCCCUCUUAGUUUUCUGACCAAACAGAAGAAGCAAGUUUUAAAAUAUGUACGAAGCAAACAAAUUAAACAUCAAAAAAUUGCAGGUACAUAUGACUGAAGAUAUCAUAACAGAGCAUCUGGCAGAUAUAUGAAACAUCUAAAAUGGCAGGCAGGUAUAUAGGCCAGACAUCUACCAAGCUAUUUGCCUGACCUUUAUCAUCCACCAACUUAUCCCAUAAUUUCAUCUCUUGCAACUUGCAAGCGCACAGAACAACCAAAAGUCUCCUUUUAAAUGAAGUAAUUGAUAUCUUUUACAAUAUACUAAUUUAACCUUCCCAUGAUAGAAUCAUAUUCUCAUCAUAUACAAUCUAAAAGCAUAACUUAGAAUCUUAGAUGAUCACUACAGGAAUUAUUAAAGCAAUUAUGGCAUCCGGGCAAGCGAGUACCUUAGAAAGGUUCUGUAUUUGACCAUGAAUCCAUAGACCAAGAAGUACAAGAAGGGCAAAUCCAAGGGUAACCAGGAAAACUGACUCGACGCUGAGGAAGCCACCAGACUCGACAACUUCAAUGGUACCAUUGUAGAAGGUGCUCUGAUAUGGAUGCUGGUCUAUCUCAUAAAAAAUGGUGCCCACAAGAUCAAAGCUUCCAGGCUGCCCAAAAAUUUAAACAUACAUGUUGAAUCGCCAACUUCUCUAUAUUUCAGUUUUGAUGUAGAAAUAAGAUUGACAAGCAAUGCAAGUAUAUUGACAAUAAUGAAUCAUAAAACUCUGAGAGUAAUGCAUGUACCUGCAAGUACUUGCUGACUGCAAAAGUGUAUGGGAAUGUUGCCUGUGUUGAGGCAGGAACAGUUGCAUUGUUGAAGGCCUGCAGUUGAACAACAGUAAACAACAAAAUAAAAACAGGAAUCAACAGAAUCCUAGGAAAGCAAGAAAGCAGUGGUUAUACUAAAUUGCUAAUAAUUCUAGAAAAAAAUAUAAACUUUCAAUUAAGAGAAAGAUAAGAGAAAAAGAUAUGCAAUAGAAAAAAAUGUCAAAUUCCAAAAAUUACAAUUUAAGGCAAUGAUUAUAAAAUAUAGUACCUAGCCCAUAAAUCUGGUUUGCAAAACCUUGGUAACGGUGGCAGAUCCAAAAAUUUUGUUAGUGGGUCAAUGCACACAGCACAUGCACAAAUAUUUGUAUGUAUAAAAACAUUACAUGUGCAUGUAAAUAAAAUUUAUAAUAAAUCACUUACUAUACACAAUGGAGCAGAAAGAAGUAGAUUUAGAUAAAAAGGAAAUACAUAUGCAUAAUAGAGGAUGCUCAAGCUAUCAAGUGGUGGUGAAGAGAAGCAAUUGAUUUAUAUAAACUCAAAACUCUAGUGUAAGCAAUUUAAGCAACUGAAUGGCCCAAAGAAAAAUAAUUGACUGGGGAAAUUUUAAAAGAUCACAAUUCUACACAUAUUUAAAAGCAAUGAUAUGAGCAGACUUGUGCAACUAGACUCAAAAGUGACGGGCAAAUACUAACCCUUUCCUGAUUGUGAUACAAUGCACACAACAAACAAUACUAAAGCAACUAGCCCUAUUCUAUAAGUACCUUAAUUUAUGAAACUUUUGGAGAAUUCUUGGAAUUUCCACCACUACCUCUCUCUGGCUAACAAUUCUCAAAAAAUCCCCUUUAUCAUUCCCUAACUUGCUAUCAUUAACAAGUGGCUGUCAUGUGCACCAAGUAUACCUGGAAUGGGCGCCCAUCCUUUCUCCCACAACAAACUAAAGAAUAUUUACGAUCAGAAAGGACAGAGAAAGAGGGUAAAUGAUAAAAUUCACUCCUAAAAAUUCAUUAGCUACACUUCUCACUAAGGGAAGCAUGUUCUCUCUAUCCACCAACUACACCCUGCUCUUUCCACCCAUAAUUCAGCAAUGCGUUUUUUACUGGUUAAACUUGAUCUGAUCUUUGAUCUUGGCCCUGAGUUUGAAGCAGCUAUUUCUAUAAUCUAUUCUCGAGAAAUUAGAGCUUAAGUCAUUGUUUAUUCUAUGUAUAGAAACCACCUAAAAAAUGAUUCUGUGAUACAUUUCGUGCAUACGUACAUGUUAGUGUGUGUCAAUGAGUGUGAGACAGCAAGAACAAAGAGGAGGAGGAAGAGGAGAGAGGUUAGAUUCCUCUAUUUCCCCCAUUGGGAUGGGCACACCCAGAAAAGGGCAAACAACCAUAUCUACCCAUAUAACAAAUCAAACUAGAACCUGAUUUUGAGAUCAUCAUCACGUUAACUAUAACUGAAACAUCUAAAACUCCACACUUACCUGAGCAGUGAGAUUUUGAACAAGUAGAUGAUGAUCAAAUGGAAGAUGAACACUGCCUUUAAUUGCAAUGACAUUUAUGCUUGACUCCCCUGCACUCCAACCAAUGGAUCGCAUGAGCAUAUUUCUACAUUGAAUAAUAUAGCAAAAAAACAAAAGCAAAUUAUAGGGCUUAAGCCUGGAUAAGAACUAGAAUAAAAAUAAGGUAGACUGAGAAGUUAUAACCUAGAAUUGUACUUUCAUUGCACAAGUAAUUUGAUAACAAGUCCAACAUACCAUCAUUCUUGAGUCCGACAAGGAGUUCAGUAUCUUCACCAGUUAGCACCACUGCAGCCAAAAUAAAUAAAUAAAUAAACACAAACACAUCCAUCAUACAGAUUAUUCAUUCUUAAAAUUAUAGUGAAAACAGAAAUAUCAAUGAGCAAAUAGAUGAAAUUCCUACAACGUGCACUGUUUUUGGGGAAAACACAGACGGAAUCAACUCCUGGAGCAGGGCUAAAAUUUCCAUCGCCAAAAUACUGGGCAUCCUCACCAACAAUACCAAGAUCACUUACUUCUUCGGCAGACUCUGUGACGUCUGCUUCAGAAUCUGAUUGACACCUAGUCACUGUAACAGGAAAGAAUUAUCAAGUUUUAGAUGAAUUUUCUCAGAUACUCAAAACCCGGAGAAAUCAUUUCUAGUGGCAGUUUCCAUUAGAAAAUGACAGAUUAAACUGACAAACAGGCAUGGAGUUAAAAAAAAAAAUCAAAGCAACACAACUCCAGUCCUAUCUAAUGUAAAUUGGCAAUCAAAAGCAUAUAAUUCAGAACCCAGAAAGUACACAUUACUUAAAUGGUAUUUAAUCUGUUUAUAGUAAUUCUUUUAAUUAGAAAAAUACUUUUACUUCACAUAGCAAAAAUCGUGAUUAAUCACCCUUUCGAAAAGGGAAACAAAAUAACAAAUACAACCACAUAUAUUAAAUCACUUUUCUUGCCCCCUUCCCACAGACGUAGAGAAUAUCAAGUUAAAUUUAGCCUUCAAAAACCAACCAAAAGCAUCAGCUAAAUCCCGACAACCCAAAACCCAGAGAAACGACACCGCGUCACCUUGUUCUAAUACUUGUGAAAGAAAAAUUCAAAGCCGAAACCUCACAAGAAACAUAAUUAUAUAUCGAUUUAGAUCUCAUGUCUAUAGAUCAAAGACCAUAAACACAACCACAUAAAACAUAUAUAAAUAUUUAAAGUUGAGCAUAAGUACAGAUCUAGAUCUAAAAUUGGGAAUGAAGAACCUUGAAGGAGGGGAGAAGCGAUAAGGAGGAGAGCGAAGAAGAAAACCCUAAGAUUGUUCAUUGUCGCCGUGUUUAAGGCAGCUUCGUCGACGGUCGUGGAGAUCAAUACGACGCCAGAGACCAAAAUUUGUCUCUCCAGUCAAAUACGAGGAAAUAGUAGAUGGUAUUUAUUUUGUGUGCUUGGAAAUGGUAGAUUGCAAGUUUGCCAUUACAGUUUGUUAAACAACGUGGGAAUGAAGUCAAACGAUGUCGUUCAAUUAUGCCUUUUUUGCAUUUCCAUUUCUUUAUUUUUUUUUAUAUUUGGUAAUUAUUAGAAAUAUAAUAUCAUUGAAAUUUACCUUCAUAUUAAAUUAUGAUUAAUUGUUUAUUAUGGAUAAUAUUAUAGACAAAAUUAAUAAAAGAAAAAAAUAAAUAAUAUGAUUAUCUAAAAAGCUAAUUUAUUAUUCGUAUUCUUUACAAUUAUAUUAUUCUUUUAUUAUUUAAGAUGUUUUUAAAGUUUAAAUAAAUUUACAACUUUUAAUUAUUUUGUAUUUUUUUAAUUAUUCUCUAUGUUUUAUAAUUUUUUUUUCCAUUUUUUCUUUUAUAAUUGUCCUAACAUUAUUGUGUACACUAUAAUAAAUUGAAUAUUGUAAUCUAUUUAAUUUUAUCUUGUAAAAAAUCUAAUAUUUACAUGUAUUUAUAUUUUAAUAUAAAUUUUUAAAUUUUAAUUUAAUUGAUUCGAUCUUUAUAUUUUGGUAUAAUUUUAUUUAAUCUAUAAAUUUCUAAAUUUUAUAGUUUAAUUAGCAUAUUACGUAUAUUAUUUUUUUUAUAUAAAUUAAUAAUUAAAUGACUGAAAAAAAUUUAAUGUUUGUAUUUUUAUAUUUUAAUCUAAAUAUUUAAAUUUUAGUUUAAUUGGCUUAUUUGGAACUAAUUUUAGUCUAUUUUUAAAAUUUAAUAUAUAAAAAUUUAAAUAAAAUAUCAAAUAUAAUAUUUUAUUAUUUUCUAAAUAUAAAUUAAUUCUAUGAAAAUAAUAUUAACUUAAAUUUAAUUAUAGUUAAAUAAUAUAUAUAAUUUUAAAAAAUAUUAAUUUAUAUAUCGUGGACAGUUAUAUCAGUAGACAGAUUUUGUAAUUUUAUUUUAUAUUAAUAAUUGUGGAGAUUUUAUAAUAGAUAUAUUAUUUUUAAUUAUUUUAUAUACACUAUUAUUUUGAAUUAAAUAAUAUAUUUAUUAUAAAAUGUCUAUAAUUAUUAUUAUAAAAUAAAAUUUAUUACUAAUUAUAUCUUUAACAAUUAAAUUAUUUAUCUUUAAUUUUAAUUUUAAAAAUUAAUCAAAAUUAUAGUUAUAUUUAAAUAUAAAUAUUUGACCAAUUUAUUUAAAAUUUAAAUAUUUAAAUUAAAAUAUAAAAUAAUAUAAACGGUAGACUUUUUUGAUUCAUUGAUCAAUUAAAAAAAUAAUUAUGAUAAUACACUUAUUAACUAGACAAUCAAAUUGCACAUAAACUAUUAAAUUUAGAAAUUUAUAUAUCGACUAAAAUUAUACCAAACUAUUAAAUUUAGCAAUUAAAUCAAAAUUAAAAAAUUAAAAUCAAAAUAUAAAUAUAUACAACAAUUAGGUUUUUUUUUUUAUAAUUCGCCUUUUAGAAAACAUCUCAAAAUAAUUUAAUUGAAUUUAAUAUUAAUAUGGACAUAAUCCGAAAGUUAAUAAUUUUUUUUAAUAUAUAUAAAAAAAUAAAAUGUAUAAAAAUUAUGGAAAGAAAGGAGUAAUUGUUUUAUUUUAAUUUGAAUAUAAAAUUUUAUAAAAUAAUAACUAAAAUAAAAUAUAUCUUCAAAGAAAAUUUUGUAAUUUUUUAUCAAUCAUAACAAAAGAAUUAACAAAAAAAAUAAAAAAAUUAUUUUUUUAAAAAAAAGUUCAUACUAUGCAUUAAAAAAAUUAUUACUAUUUAAUUUACAUUGAAACUUGCUUUACUUUGUACACGACAAUAAAAUAUUAAAUAUAGUUAAUUAUUAUACUUUGAAGAAAAAUACAAAUUUAUUAAUUUUAAAAUUAAAAAGAUAUAUAUGUGUAACAAAUAAUAUCAACUUGUUAAAAAGUACUAUAAUAUAUAAAGGUUAAAAUAUGAUUGAAGCUAAUUCCAUAAAAAAAUAGUUUCAGGAUUGGUUAAGAAUCUAACAUUAUCCAGAAUUUGAAAUAUUUUCUUUAUUUUAUUUUAAAUUUAAUUAAAUAAAUCUUUUUAGCUUUAGAUUUAGUUAUAGAUUGUAAUACUAUUUUGAUUUUUGGUUAAUUGUUUGCGCCUGUAAAAAUUUUAUAUGAUUUUAUAAAACAAUUAAUUUAUAUUUCUAAUUCUCGUAGAUUAAUUUUAUUUUUUCAUAAUCAAUAGAGUUAAUUAUUUAUAAUUUAUAUAUUUACUAUACAUAAAAGUGGCAAAGGGAGAUAACAAAAUUUCACGUAUUACCUUUUUAAUUGGAUAAAAAAUAUUAUAUUUUUAUUUAUUUAAUAAAUAAGACAUUUGUAUAUUAAAAAACUGAUAAAAAUUUAUUUAUAUGUAUAUAUAUUAUUAUUAAUGAAAUACAAUGUACAACGGUUGCUAUCAUUUCAUUUUAAAAUACUAUUUACCUCUAUAACUAUUAGAUGUGUUAUUGUUACUUUGGUACUUUUAUAAUUAAAUUAUAUAGAAAUAAUUUUAAAUAUUUUCUAAUUAACAUAUUUAAAAAUUAAUUUCAGUUUUAAAUUAAUUUUAAUUUAAAUACUAUUUGUAUUUAUAGUAAAUAUUUAGUUUUAGUCAAGAGAAACUUCUUUGUAUUUAUAGUCAAGCGUCAUAAAUGAACUUAAAUAAUACGUAAACUUUUAGUACAUAAUAUUAUUAGUACAAAUCUAAAUACUAGUAAUAGCAAUAGUAAAAGCAAAGAAACAGAGGGCAGGUAACACAUUUCGGGCAUGUAAAGUUUACAAAACAUGCUCCCUGGGGGUUCUUUGUUAAUAAGAGAAGGCAGUUAUCUAAAGAUGACACCAUCCUAUUUCACUUUUUCUAUUAACAAAAAUCGACAAGUUGGAGUUCAAGCAGGAGACAUCACCCAACUUCAUCUUCAAACCAUGAGAUCUAGUCAAGUAGAAGAUCUAUAAUAUGUCUCCUUUUCCUCAAAUAUGUAUUUCAUGCUCAUGCACAAAACCCGUAAUCAUCAAUUGUGAGCUCUAGUCAUGAUAAGCAAGGUUAUUGAUUAUAGAAUGCUCAUGAAUUAUGCUGAAUUCUUGCAGCAGUAAAAGAUGUAUAUAUACUUUCUGAAAAAAAAUGCCAAGUAGAAGAUUUAUAACUCCAGCCACUAUCAACUACAUAUAAGUACUUGAUGAUACUGAAAUGAAACCGCACAAUUAAUUUAUUUUUUUUGUUAAAAAGAAAAAGAAACAAAAAAAACUAGUGCCCCUAUAAGUUGACACAAAACCUUGCCAUGGCUGUAAAACAAAUCCAGCUACUAGAUCAAUCUCCAUGGAUGGUGUAACGCUCCCACUUCUUUGAUGGGUCAUAUAUCUAUCACAAUGAAAAGGAAAAGAAUUAAUAUGACUUAUCCUUGUUUAUUUAAAUUAACUCCCCCUGCUGCAUUCACAACACAUAUGCCAGCACAGCAGACUGGCCAAGUUAACAGCCCAGAUUGGAUUGUCCAGUUUGUCAGAGUUAAUGCCAGAUUUCUGUUUUUGAGAAGUAUUAAGCAUUAUUUUCCAACAAUAAUGCAAUCUGCAAUAUUCAUCAACAAACCACAUUCACUCACACACACACAGAGAGAGAGAGAGAGAGAGAGAGAGAGCACCUCCCAUCUUGAAGCAGGGAAAAUGUGUUUGUUCUUCUCAUACCAAUGCCUCUCAACAACUUUACCAGCAUGAGACUGUUGAAAAAAUAUAUAUAUAUAUUUUUCUUGAGCUCGUGUCGAAGAACAUGAUUGGGCAUGACAUAUGGGAAAACCCCCUUAAUGACAACUACUUAAAAUUGAAUACUGUAAACAUAAUACCUCAUCCUUCUCAAUUGUCGCAUCAGCUAUGGUCCGCACAUCCUCAUGCACAUCAAAGUGAAACAGCUGCAAAAAAAGGGGGGAAAAAAGCUUCAUAUUCCAAAAAACAAUGUGGGUUGGGGGGGUUAGGAGGAAUACAAAUGUUACUCAUCCAGAAAUACCAUUGGAUUUUAGGAUUUAAUAUCUUUUUUGUUCCCCAUUCAUCAUUACGAGUAUGGUCAAUAAAACAAUUGAUUAUCUAUAUAAUCAAUGUUGCUACAGUUAUCACAUCAUAAUAAAAUGCAAUAGGAGAGAGUUUAAAGGAAUUGAGGGUUACUGGUCCACUUUUGCCUCUAGCCUUGUUAACAAUAAGCUCAUAGAAGCUGUGUUGCUGAAAUUCCAAAAUCACAGAGAAAAAAAAUCAUAAAGUGAAAAUAAGUUAGAAUGUGAUCACAAAUCACAAUAUACAGUCAAACACAAACAGUAAUUGAAAAGCUUAAUUUGAAAAUCAUCUCACAUGGGGAAUGAUGAGAUCUUCCUUCACAUAAAGUAAAUUCUCCACAGAUGUUGUCCUGAUUUCUCUAAACUCAGGUGCAAGUUGUUGCUGAACUGCCCUAAGGAACUCUCCUAUGGUAUCACCUUUACGUGCCUAAAAACCAGGUCCCAAAAAAAGAGGAUACAAAAGUCAACAGUAUGGACAAAGAGAAAAAAGUAGAGGAACAAAAGUAUAGACAGGUUAAUGUAACUAGCCUGGAUCACCCUCCUAUGGCCUGUUCCAUCCCAGUAGCUGUAAGUAAUUUCAAGGGGCUCAUCUGAAAUAUCGAGAGUUUGAUUCAGGAUAAAUAUUUUUCCAGAUAUUAGUAAUACAUUAGGAAGAGCCAAAACACAAAAUUACUUCGAAUCUGUUCCUGUUCACGAAGCCAUUGUUUCCGCAACCUUUCACGCUCAGCUUGCUCCUCUGCCUCCCGCUCACUGAAACAGCAUCCUCAUCACCCCUAAGCUCAUAUGUUAGUUCGAAGCUCAUGCACAUCUACAUGCAACAAGACUGUGUGGCGAGGAGAAGUAAGAUGUCAAACCUAUCAGGCAAGAAGCUCGUUUCCACUGUGGGAUCUUUGCCAACUUUCCCAGGCACUAAUUUUUUUGACUCACCUUCUGGAGCAAGGAGAAAAAGUGAAUACUCAAUUCAGAUUCUCAUGCUACCAUGGAACAGGAUAUAAAUAAUAAAUGAACAAGGUUUACUUAUGACAGCUAUGCAAAUUUUUAAUCAGCAAAAAUUUAGCAAAAAGCAAAAGAUAGGGGCAGAGACAGGUGGAAGGUAGGGGGACCCUGCACCCCAUAUAUAUGGGGGCAAGCCAUUUUAUUUUAUUUUAAAAAUAGUAAGUGUAUUGUAAUCUUACUUUUAAAAUGGCAUAUAAAUGUAGUCUUGGCCUUUAAAAAAAGAUAUAAAAUUGAAAUAUUAUAUGCUUUAAAAAUUAUUAUAUUUUUUAAAUUACUAAAAAUUUCAGUUUCACCUAACUUUUUUUAACCUAUCUCUAAAAACUUCCAUCCAGAUUUAGGAAUAGUAAUUUUAUCAAGUUUAACAUUCAAAAUCUGUUUUACCGCCACUAGUAAAGUAGAUUAAAUAUUAGAGGAAAAAAAUCUAACUCUUGUGGUGUAAAAAUUUGUUUUCAUUCAUUUUAUCCCAUAUAGAGUCAAAAUUUUGAAAUCCAAUGUAUUUGUCAACAUCUAUGGCAUAGGUUGGAGGUGUAAGAUGUCUACGAACAUGGGUGUAUUAUGGACCUCUUUUGCUAAGUUUUUUCCUAAUUACUUUAAUACAUAAAUCAUAUGUUUAAUAAGAGAAGUUGAUUAUCAUUUGAUAAAAAUGCACCUACCUUCUAAUUAAUUAUAAACUAACAUUUAUAUGAUUAUUUAAUCAACUGGUAUGAACUAUCUCCAGAGUUGCAUUCUUCCCGCAGGAUAUCAAGCCAUAAAACAAACUGAAGUUCAAAGGCAAAUACUCCAAAACAUCUAUAAACACCAGCAAGUAUCAAAGCCUUUGAAAAGUAUUAUUAUAGCAUAUGAGAAUAUUGGGCUAGCAUCAGGAAUAUUCCAUCAAAAGUAUCAAAGCCUUUGAAAAAUAUCUUACUGUCUUCAGCAUCCUCUUCUUCACUUCCAUUCUCAAUAUCAUCAGCGAAUGAUAACCGAGGAUUCCCCUUAAUCUUUCUCUUUUUCCGCUUUUCUAACUGGAGUUCCUCCUCCCUACAACACAAUGCACAAUCCCAACACAUAACCAGAGAGGAUAUAAAAAAAAAUAAAAAAUGGAAGGCAAAUGCAGGGAAGUAAAACUCACUCUUGCCGCAACUUUUGUAGCUUCUCCUUUUCUUCCUCUUCAAUUUUAUUCUGAAUAUUGACCCUCUUAACAUAUGCAGCACAUAUACAACAACACAGAAUAAGCACCUCACGCUUCCAUUAUUGCCAAAGAGAUGGGGGGAAAAACUCUAUUACCUUCUCAACAUAUUGCUCUCUUGUAACCAAACCCACAGUCUCCUUCUUAAAUGCAGUCUCGAGAAUCUGUUAACCACAAACUAUAAGAACAUGUGUAAAAACAGGGUUGGGGGGGCGGGAGCAGCAAUUGAAGGAGGAAAAGAAAACUUUUCGUUUGCCGAGAAACUAAAACCCUAAAUGAUUGUAAAACGCAAACCCUAGGUAGCAGAGAAGUGAUAGUUGAUAAAACCGAGUAACUGACUGAAGGUGGUUUCGCAAACGUACCUCCGAGGUGCUUGACCCGAAUUGGAGGAGGCCAGGCUGGCCCUUGGCGGAGGCGGACUUGGUCUUAAGCUCUUGGAUUUUGCGACGCUCGGCUUCUCGUUGCUUCUCUAACCGCCGGAUCCUGACGGCGUCUUGGGCCGUGCCCACAUAGCCAUCUCCCAUGCCCGACAUCUUUUGUUUUCUUUUACUUUCCCUGGUUAUGCCUCCCUGUAGAACGAAAAUUAUCCCGGAAAAUUGGAUUAAGGUUCUUGUUUGUCGCUCGACGAAGGAACAGUAAAGGCUCAAGUGCUAUUAGCUGAAAAAGUGAUCGACAGCCGUUCAAUCUGGUUACUAUGACCAACGGCUCCGAUUAUAGUUUAUUUAAAAAUAAGAAAAUUUUGGAAAAAAAAAAAACUAAAUUAUUUCACAUUUAUAUUCAAAACAUUUAAUUUUAUUAAUAAAAUAAUGGUUAUUUUUUAUUAAUAAAUAUACAUUUAUUUAAUUUAAAUUUCAUACUAAAAAUAAAUAUAUAUUUUAUAUUUAUUGUAUAUAAUAAUAAAUACUUAUUAAAAAUAAAAUAAAAUUAACAUAAUAUAUCAUAUGUAAUUUUUAUAUGUUAAAAUAUUUCAUUAAACAUUUAUAUUCAACAACGUUACAGACUAUAUGCUAAUUACUCAUAUACAAAAUUUUUUAUUUUAUAUCAAUAAUACUAAUAAAAUAAAAUUUUAUUUUUUUCAUAUUCUAAAUUUUUUAUUAAUUUAUGAUAUGUACAUAAAGUGUGAAUGAAAUGUAAAUAAUAAUAUUGACAAAAAACAACAUUGUUUAAAUAAAAUAUUCAUUUUAUAUUCUAUUUUAUUAAUCACAUAAAAUUUCAUGUAUUAUAAUUUUAAUCCUUUAGCUACAAUGACAAUAAAUUUUAACACUAUUUAAUUUUAGUUUUCAAAAUUUAAAAUUUUAUAUAUAAAUAUAAAUUAACGCUGCUAUUUCAUGCUUUUUUUUCGGUUAUUAUCUUAGGGUAAUUUAUUUUUCUUUGUUAGCAAUGUAAGGCUCUUGUAAAACUUAAUGAAAAUGUAUUAAAUAUUUAAUUUAAAAUUUUAUCAAUCAUGAAUAUGAGUGCUUUAUAUCAUGUUAAUUAAAAAGUUUUAUAAUUGCGGUUCUUAUAAUCGUUUACUUAAUUAUAUAUAUAUAUAUAUAUAUAUAUAUAUAUAUAUAUAUAAAUAUAUAUAUAUAUAUAUAUGAAUAUAUUUAUUUUAUUUUAUUAUUUAUUUAAAGCACUCCUGAGUAUUAAUUCGGCAUACUGAUUUUUUUAUUUUAUAUAGAUUAUAAAUAAAAUAAUCACUUCAGGAGUGGUCAGAGAUCAACAUGAACUAUUAUAAUUCAUUAUUUUGAGUUUUCGAGUCACUAUAUAGUUAUAUUUUAACAUAUAUAUAUAUAUUAAAUAAAAUGGGUUAUAAAAAUUAUAUAAAUUAAGAUAAUAAUUAUGCAUUAAUAAAGAAAAAGAGUUAAACUUUUUAAAUGUAACGAUAAUUAUAAAAAAAUAAGGAACGGUAUUGUUAUAAAAUAUAUAUUAAAUUAAAAAAUAGUAAGAUAUCAAAUUACAGUAUAAUUAUAAAUAUAUUUUUUAUAUAUACUACAGAUUGAAAUGUUUAUAAAAUAGAGAAAAUUCUGUGAAAAUUUUAAUUUAAAAUAUUAUAUUUACUUUACUUUUUUAUAGAAUUAUAUAUAAAAAAAAGAUUUAAUUUUAAAAUAUUUAAAAAAAUAUAAUUUACAGUAAUUUUUAUUCUGUCUACAUUAUGUCUACAUUUUAACAAGAUAGGAGAUGUUACAUAAAUAAAUAUAUGUUACUUCGUAUAAAAUAUUUUUCAUAAAUUGAUUCAUAAAAAAAUAAUAGAGUAAUUAGGGAUGAGAUGUUAAUAGAGUGGUGAGAUAAUUUAUAUAAAUUAAUUUUUUUAAUGUGAGUAAAUGUAUUUUUUAAUGUAACAUUUACUAUUUAAUUUUUAUAUUAUAGAAAAAUUUAUUAAUUAAAUUUUUAAUUUUAAAAAACAUAUUACAAUGUUUAUAAAAUUUUUAAAAAAUUAUUAAUUAGACAUUAUUUUUAAUUAAUAAAUAUUUUAUUAUUUAAUUUAUAUAAUUUAAAAAAAUUAUUAGUUAUUCGCUUAAUUUUAUAAAAAGUUUAUUAAUUUUUUUUAUUUGAAAAUAUUUUAAUUUUUUAUAAUAUUUAAUAGUUAAAAUUAAUAAAAAGUUAAUUUUUAGACUUUUAAAAUUUUAGAAAUAUUUUAAUAUAGUUUUUAAAAUUGAUAAAUUAAUUAAUAGAUUUUUUAAUAAAAUAAAAAGUAAAUAAUAAUUUUAAAAUUAAAAUUUAUAGACAUUUUAAAUUAAAUUAAUAUAAAUAAAUAGAUAAAUAACGAUAGAAGUAAAUUCAGAAUCAAUUCGGUAUUUUUUCAAGUGAAAGUAUAUUGUUUGUGGCUAAGCUAAAACAGUUAGUUAAUUAGUUUGUCAGUUUGUUUGUUUUUUUUUUUCAAAAAAACAAAGGAGAGGAAACCAGUAAAAUUUUAGGACACGAAACGGAAGGACCAAGAGACCCAGUGGUCUGGAUAUCAGGAAAUCAUCGUUUUUGACCGUGCGUGUGACGCGAAGGAGACUCGCGUGAACCUGAUCCAGCCGCCCAGUCCCUUUCGAUUAACCUAACACACACAUACGAACGCAACAACACCCACAGCUUCUUCUCCCAUUUCCAUUCUCCCACACAGACCACAGUAGAGAAAGUGAAUAAGUCACAGCCAAUUCAACCAUGGCGAUGCUCUCUACAUCUCUCUCCGGCCCCAAAUCAACUAUCUCAUGUCCCGCUCCUCAGUUCUCUGGUCUCCGCCGUUUAUGCACUAAGCUCGACGCCACGAAAUCUAACUCUUCCUUUCUCCAUCAUUUCAAUUCUCAACUCCGCUUUUCUUCUCCUCGUAAAACUUCCAGACAAAUCGUCGCCAUGGCCGGCACAGGAACGGUGCGUUCUUUCUUUUGUAAUGUAUCUCUCCUGGAUCUUGUUUCAAUGCUUUCAAAUACUGUUUAGUCUUAUUUUGGUUAUUGCUUUCUGUGUAGUUAAUCUUUGUUCUUUUGCUUGUUUACUGUGGACAUUGUGAAGAAACCGGUAAUGAAUAUAGUAGAUCUAAUAUAAUUGGAACUUUACCGUUAUUUAGUUAUUUUGUGUUUGCUUGGAAAGUGAAAGUAAUUUGCUUAAAACUGUGGUUUACAAGCAGCCAGAUCUUUCAAGAUUGGUUGCUUUGUUUCUUUAGUUGUGUUUUUUUUUUUUUUNNNNNNNNNNNNNNNNNGACAUGCCAUUUAUUAAUUGGUAUUUCUCUUUGCUCUGCUUGCAGUUCUUUGUUGGGGGGAAUUGGAAGUGUGUAAGUAUCUUUGUUCCUCACUGAUUCAAUCAUUUCAACUUGUUUCAUUUGGUUUAUAUAUAUAUAUAUAUAUAUAUAUAUUUACUUUAUCACUAUCAUUGUUACUUCUAGCGUAUUGUUUCCUCAUUAACUUGUGUAAUUCUUGACUGAACUUGACCUUGAACAAAAGUGUUGCUAGACCAUUAUAACAUGCCUUUGAACAAAAGUAUUGUCGGACCCAUCUAAGUUGACACAAUGAAAGAUGAUAAUCUUGUGUUAGAUCUAGUAAAAUAAGAAGAAGAUGCAGUUAUUUAUUUAGAACACAUUUUAAAUCUGCAAGUGUAUGUUUUUGACCUUUAUUGGGAAUAUUUCUUUACACUUUGAAAAUUACGCUCUUUGCAUUCACUGUUAAUGACCUCGUAACCUUUCUCACUGAUGUAUUCAUAAAUUUGCGAGAUUUGGUGAAGUGUUUUUUGAUUGAAUUGAUAAUAUCUCCAUUGCCACAUAAGUUAUGAAAAAUUUGAAGUUUAUGCUGGUUAUUCAGAUGCGUUCCUGUUCUUUAUAUUGUUAUUGCUGUCAGUGUGGGUUUCUUCUGUUUAAACGUUUAACUAUACACUUUUCAUCUGUGUUAUUGCAACGAUUGGCAUUAUUUCCUUUUUGUAAGCUUUAUUAUUAUGAACUAUUUAUUCUCUGGACACUGCCUCAACCUUUUAACAAGUUCUGAUGAUUCUUUUUUUUUUUUGGUCAUGCCAUUUAAAUUAUAGUGCGGUUACUUUUAUGUACAUUUCUCAACUUUAGUUUUUCCUGGGUUCUGAGAAGGUCUUUAGCUUUCUGUCUUUUCUUUUUGUUAGCAUCUUGGUGUGGGUAGUGGAUAGUGCGGCUGGAUAGCUAUUGUAUCCUUUCAUUUCUUCUCUUUGGUUUCUCUAAUUACUUUAUUUUUACGGUUUCCAGAAUGGGACGAAAGAAUCUAUCACUAAGCUUGUUUCUGACCUGAAUGAUGCAAAAUUGGAGACCGAUGUAGGUGAGAUAAUAUUUUUCUCUAGUUCUGGUGUCUCAUUUUCUGAUUUCCAUUAAGUUUUCUAUUUUUGUGAAUAAUCUCGUGCUAUACAAGAUAUGCUUGUCAUGCAGCGUAUUCUAGUUUGACAUGGUUGAUUGUGUAAUGUCCAAACUUCACAAUGCUCUAUAUCCUUAUAGAAAAGGGAACUCUACACUUGGAGCUUUAUUCCUAUUUUAUCUCGUUUUUAGGAAAAAAAAAUCCAAAUACUGUAUUGUUCUUACCUUUUCCUUUUUACCUGUGAAUGGGCAGAUGUUGUUGUAGCGCCUCCCUUUCUUUACAUAGAUCAGUUGAAGGCUUCAUUAACAGAUAGAAUUGAGAUUUCUGCUCAAAACUCAUGGGUUGGAAAAGGUGGGGCAUUCACAGGAGAAAUUAGGUUGGUUUCAUUUCCCUUUUUAGUUCCUCUUUGGCAUAGCUAUGACAAUUGGUAUUAAUUUUCAAACCCUUCACAUGAUUUUCAUUUAGAUAUGAGUCAUAGCAAUAGAUUUUGGUAUUGAUUUAAUAAUCCUUAAAUUAUUUUAUUCCUUUCCUUGUUUUCUCUCUGCUGUAUCUUAAGGUGACAAAACUAUGUAGCUUGAAGCAUGAAAACUUCAGCUUACCUAAAAGUUAAUAUUUGUUGCUGUAUUGAAUAGUUUACUAGAUGGUAGAAGAAAAUGUGAGUGAUAUAUUGCAGCCUGAUCCUUUUUUAAUUUUUAAUUUUCUUUUUCCCCCUCUAUGUUUGUGUUUAUCUUUAAAGGGUCAAACUAUAUUUGUAUUGAGUUUAGACUUAUUUAUUGAAGGAAAUAAGAUCACCCUGCUUGGCUUUUCAAAACUGUUCUUUGGUUCCGUUCUAAUUUGUGUGUGCCUUUGAAAUGAUAUCUCAUUCUAGUUUUUCCUUUUGUAAUGUCUGAUCUAAGAAACUCAAAUACCAUUAUAUCUGUAGCUUAUGUGAACCAGAUAGUAGUUAAUUGCAUGUUCUGUUUCCCACUUAUUCUCUUGUAACUUUGACUAAUACACAAGCACUUUCUAUUGUUUAUGGUUGGAGGAUAUAUGCUAUUGCUUAGGUGCAAAAUGCCAUUAGUUUACUGUUGAUGCCAGAGUUUUCACCAUAUGCAGCCAAACACAAGUCUAAUUUUAUUGUUCUUAGACGAUAAGCAGUGGGUUGUAGUUAGUUUCAAAUGCAACGACUCCAAUACUCCACCCUUGCUUUGCUUUAGUGCUUUACAUGUGUGGAUUAGGAUAUCCAGGUUAAGAAACUAUGGUGUGUCUUACUCUCGUAAAUUAACUCAUGCAUGAGGCUUAUCCGUUGUUUCUCUUCUCCUGAAUUUUUUUUCAUAUAAUUGUUAUACUCUAUUUUCAGCGCGGAACAACUGAAAGAUAUUGGCUGCAAGUGGGUCAUUCUUGGGCAUUCUGAACGCAGACAUAUAAUUGGUGAAGACAAUGAGGUGAAAAUAUUAGAAGCUAAAAGUAUUAUGUUUUUGAGAGGUUUGAAUGAGUAGAUUGUUGUCUUGUGGCUUAUUGUCAUUUUGUUCAGUUAAGUUAUCACUGAAUAUCAAUAUAGUCACUAAAUUCAAUUUGCUGCAGCAAAAUCAUUCACCUUUGACUUAGUUUCAAUGCUAUCACUGUUACUGGAUUUUGGUAGAAUUUCCACCAAAAUUUUGACUUGACAUCCUAGUAAAAUUUGCUAAUUUAGUUGUAUAAUUGAAACUAGGAUAUUAAAUUUUAUUAGUCAACACAAAAAAAGUUGUCUAAAUGUUUGCAAGAAUUUGGAAAUGAUAACAUCGUUAACACAAAUUCAAAGACACAAUUUUUGUAUUACAAAUUGGAGUUUUAUCUGUUGUGCUUAUUAGUGAUGCAUCAAAACCAUGUGUUUGAUUGAUGUAAGUAGAUAGAGAAGAGGACAAAUUCAAUGGCAGAAAUUCUAUUUGUACCAGGGAAUAUGGAAGUUCAAUGAACAGGAACUGGAACUAGAUACAGAAGAGAAGAGAAGAGAAGAGAAGAGAGAAUCCUGUAGAGAGAGAAAAAUGUAAUUGAUCUUCCCUACCAGAAUGAUACAAUCUGCUAGCUUAAGUAGGUCACCUUGUAUGUUAUGGAUUAUAUUAUCACUUUUCCUUAACUAUUACAACUUUCUACAGCUGGCUUAAGCUAGUUAGCAUAAUUAUAAAAUUUAACUACCCUUCCCCAAUUAUUUGAAUUUGUUGUUUUUUUUUUUUCAUGAUCAGCUAGUCUGAUAUUAAUUACAUUAUCAUUACAUUUGUUUAACAGUUACAACCAUCUACAGCUGGCAACAACUAACUAAACUUCUCCUAUUGUUUAAGUUUCUGUUAGAUCUUCCACACAUAAGAGAUUAUGCAUUGUUUUUUGUUUAAUUAUUUGGAUUUAUUUUGACUGAAGUUGUUUUCUUGUUUCAGUUUAUAGGAAAGAAGGCUGCUUAUGCCUUGAGCCAGGGUCUGGGUGUGAUGGCUUGUAUUGGUGAACUUUUAGAAGAAAGAGAGGCAGGGAAAACCUUUGAUGUUUGUUUUGAACAGUUGAAGGCAUUUGCAGGUAAUUGCUGAUUUUUGUUUCUUUCGACAUACAAAGUGAAUCGUACAUGCAUUGUGAAAGAGAAGAGACAUGUCCUUAAAUCACUAAUAUCAUUAUUUGUAGAUGCUGUGCCCAGUUGGGAUAAUAUAGUUAUUGCAUAUGAGCCUGUAUGGGCUAUUGGGACGGGAAAAGUGGCCACACCUGUGCAAGCUCAGGAAGUGCAUGCAGCUGUCCGUGACUGGCUUAAAAAGAGUGUCUCAGAAGAAGUUGCAUCCAAAACACGUAUCAUCUACGGAGGUACUUUACGUGUCUACAAUGUGAAGUGCUUUUUUCUUUCUUCCUCUGCAAUGUUUACUAGACAAAAGGAAAAUACUCAGUUCACUUUUUCUUUCUACAAAUAGACAGAAUAAUCUAUGAACCCUGCAUCUAGGAAGGAUUUUGGAAUAUUAUGGUUCUCUAUGUCUUGUUAGCUUCCACUUAUAAUCUCAUACAUCUGAGUUGCCUUAUUAGGAUCUGUAAAUGGAGGCAAUUGUGCUGAACUUGCAAAGCAAGAGGAUAUUGAUGGUUUUCUUGUUGGCGGUGCAUCCUUAAAGGUAUACUAUCCUGCUAUUAUUGUUUGCUUCAAGAUUUCAGGACUGUUGAAAUAUUUAGGGUAAUUUAUAAUAUAGUCCUUGAAGUUUAAUAAAACCCAACUUAGUCCAUGCCAUUUUAAUGAAAAACAAUUUAGUCAUCGAGGUUUCAUUCUGUUAACAAAAUGGUCCUAUUAAAAAUUCAUUGUUAGAAUAUAACAUUUUAGUCCUUCUGAUUUCGCUUUUUAUAAUAGUUUAGUCCCCUUAAUUUUAAUAAUAUGCAACAAUUUAGUCUUUAUAGUUUUACUAUUUAUAACAAUUUAGUCCUUUUAAUUUGAGUUGACUUCUUCCAUUAAGAGUUGACUAAGAACAAAAUUAACAGAAGGACUAUUCUGUUAACAAAAUAAAAAUUUGGGGACUAAAUUGUUUACUAUUAAAAAAGUAGCAAACUUCAGGGACUAUGCUGUAAAAUGCCCAAAUAUUUCUGCUCUGGUUGUGAAAGGCCUCGGCAUAGUUUCAAUCUUUAAUGUAUUGGGGUUGCUGGAUGACUAAAAUGCUUGUAAUGUAGGGCCCUGAAUUUGCAACUAUUAUCAAUUCUGUAACAAGCAAGAAAGUUGCUGCUUGAUUAUGCACUAGUCUUGGCGACUCAAACAAACAAAGGACAUACAGCGGAUACAUCAGUUUGAAGCUUAUCACGAUCAACAUAUGAGCUAGUCCUUAUUAGGUGUAUUAAUCCAUUUUUAUUAAUUUCCCAGAAGAAAGAAAUAAUCUGUUCACUUGUAUCAAUGUUUGUAAAAUGGAACUGCUAUACUAUGAAUCAUGUAAUAAUCUCUGUGAAACAGUCUUUUUGUGACAAGAAGCUUACUUGAUGAAGUAUGUUAUUCUGAAUACAAAAAAUUAAAAAAAAAAAUCUUAUUAGCAUUCACAUGGGGCAUAUCAUAAAAUGAGGGAAUGGUCGUGCAUGGAUUGGUUCCCUAUCUUUAGCUUGUGCAAGUGCUUAUUGCUUACUUUUAGUAUUUAGUAUUUCUCGGGGAAUUAGCUGAAAUGGAAAUUAGUUCGCAGAUGUGACUGAGUUUGUUUGGUAUCGAGUUUGAGGAAUCAGAAAAGCACUUAACGGACCUUUACAUAUUGGAAAAUGGAAAUGCAUAUGCAACUGUAGUGUUUUCUUUUUCCCCAUGCGAAGAAGAAUUUUCUCAUCCAAUCUCGUGAGCUAAAAGUUUAAACUUCUUUCGAAAGGACAACCAAUUCUAAGUAAUAAAUAAAAUGAAUAGAAUCUAAUUGAAAUAUUUAGUUUAGUUCUAUUCAGUUAAUUAGUUUCUCUAUUCAAUGUAUACGCAUUUGUAUUCUCAAUCUAAAAUACAGAUAUGAAUGACAGCUGAGUAGGUAUUUUGGAUAUCUAACUCUUCUAAAUCUUAAUGGGAUAGAUUUGAACAAGUUUUAGGACGGAUUUGGACUAAAUGAGGUUUAAAGCUUUGGACUGAAUGAGGUUUAAAAGAUUAUACUCGUUGCAAGAGUUCAACACUAGGAUAUUUACUAUCCAAACUCAUUGGAUAUCCAUAUGUUCUCUAACUAAUUUAUUUUAUGUCAAAUACAUGAUGUAGCCUUUUACCUUUAUAAAAAAAAAAAAAGAUAAUUAACUUGAUAUUUUUAUUUUUAGCUUUUAAUACCUGAUAUUUAUAAAAGUUUCACUAUUUUAACUCCUAAAAUUUAUAAACAUAACUAAUAAAUUGUGAAAUUUUAUAAUAUAUAAUUAUUUAACCCUUGAAAUUUAGAGUAUAUAUAACUUACAUUAAUAAAAAGGUUAAUUUGCCUAACUGACCUUUUUAUAUAAAAUUUAAGGGUCAAAUUACAUAUUCAACAUUUAUUUUAUUUAAAACUUAUGGUUAAAGUUUUUAAUUUGUUUUUAUUCACGUUGUGGUAAUUAAGAUUUUUUCAUGACUAUAAUUAACUUGAAUUUUAAUUUAUAUGUCAUACCCUUUUAUGAUUUACUUAAUAAAAUUAACAUGUGAAAUGGAAUUGUAGUAUUAUUUUUAUUUAAUUAUUUUUAAGUAUAUAAUUUUUCACCAAUAUUUUUUCAUAUUCUGAAUAUGAGUUUACACUUUUUAGUAAAAAUAUAAAAAUAAUCAGAUUCAUAUAAUAUCAGCAAUAGUAGAAAAUGGUUCAGGAUGAGUAUAAACGAAAAAAAAANNNNNNNNNNNNNNNNNNNNNNNNNNNNNNNNNNNNNNNNNNNNNNNNNNNNNNNNNNNNNNNNNNNNNNNNNNNNNNNNNNNNNNNNNNNNNNNNNNNNNNNNNNNNNNNNNNNNNNNNNNNNNNNNNNNNNNNNNNNNNNNNNNNNNNNNNNNNNNNNNNNNNNNNNNNNNNNNNNNNNNNNNNNNNNNNNNNNNNNNNNNNNNNNNNNNNNNNNNNNNNNNNNNNNNNNNNNNNNNNNNNNNNNNNNNNNNNNNNNNNNNNNNNNNNNNNNNNNNNNNNNNNNNNNNNNNNNNNNNNNNNNNNNNNNNNNNNNNNNNNNNNNNNNNNNNNNNNNNNNNNNNNNNNNNNNNNNNNNNNNNNNNNNNNNNNNNNNNNNNNNNNNNNNNNNNNNNNNNNNNNNNNNNNNNNNNNNNNNNNNNNNNNNNNNNNNNNNNNNNCUAUUUUGGGUGCAAAUUUUAGUUUUUUUUUUUUGAGUCAUUUGUCGGGCAAUUGUAAAUAUUUUUUUUUCUUGUAUGAUUAAUAAUAUAUUUGCUUAAAUAAAAGAUUAGAAGAAAAGUGCAAAUCUUAAUCUUUUUUCUCUGAAUUUAAAAAAAUAUGCAAACAAAUCUUUAAUAUCACUCUUUUUCUCAUCACAUUUUAUGCGAGAAAAAUAAGAACUUAGAAUCAAGCUUUAAGAGUGCUCAUUAGCCUAACAAAAAAGUCUACUAAGGAGAUUUCCUCACUCAAAGCAUAUAUUCUCUAAGGACUAAAUAUUAAAGCAAAUCCACCCUAAUCACAUCUUGCACAAAAUUCACUCAAUCUUGAAAUCAAUUGGGAAAAAACAUGGAGUGGUUCCAUCCAAAAAGAAGGGGUCCACAGUGGAAACAUGGGUGGGCAAGCCAGACUUUGGCUUCCAUGUCUACACCACCACCACCUCCAUUGCUCACCAUUUUCUUCAUAGUUAUUCUCCUGUUGUGGCUCUCUCAAUACACAGGUUACAAGGCCCAGUUCCACCAAACAGCCAUCAACUUUCAGCUGUUUCUUUUCUUGCUGCCUAUUUUGCUUAUUUUCUUGAUAGCUUCUUAUUCCACUGACUGGAUGCUUUACUUUCGGCCCCGGCAGCCACAACAUCAUCGGAGUCGUUCGGCUCAUGGGGGAUCUUCGCCUUGGGUUAUUGCCAUCUUUGUGGCUGUGCUUCUUGUUUUGCUUUCUUACCAAUCUACCUUUCAUUCUAAAUGGUUUGGACCUCUUAGAUCAGAUUAAAUUAUAUAUGUUUUUUUAUUUUGAAAAGAAAAACUACAGGCAUUGUAAUGGAGCAUUGUGUUGGAAGAAAAUGUUCCCUUUCCUACCUUUGUAACCUGCUGUCGAAAGCAAAGUAGCCUAUAGAAUAUAAUUAAAUAUGAAAAUUUUAAUUUUUAUGCUUAAGAUUUUUCCAUAAUUUCAAUUUUUGUUCUUUUAGCUUUAUCCUGACAAGCAACCAAAUUGAAAAUGCCGAAAGUAUUAAGCGAUCAAUGUAGGAGAUGAGCCCACAGUCAGUUCUAAAUUCUAAUGGUUCCAGGCUUCAUUAACAUUGGACCACAGUCACUACUCAAUUAAGCAGGAAUGGGUUCUUCUCCUCAAAUUUUUUUUUUCACUGCAUCUUCACGGGAAAAACUUGUAGCACAGUCAAGCUUACAAAAGCAUGCCCCACCAUCCAUACACAAGCUACUAAAAAACAUGGCAACGUGAUUUCUUCCAGGAUUCAGUAGUGCAAGUUUGGUUUGGCUUGAGUGGACAAGUUUGGCUUCGGUCCCUCUCCUUGUAACUCUCUUUGUGAGAUGUUCCUUCCAUUGAGGAUGACUCUAGGUGGCCAAAGAAUGCCAUUUGUUGGAAAAGCUUGUCCUUUGCAAUUGUAAAUCAAUUUCCAACUAGGGUUUCAUUACAAUCGCUGAGAACUGCUCUAACUUGAUUGCUUUGAAUUUGAAUGUUUAAUUUUGUCGAAGCAUAGGUAACGAAGACUUGCAAGCUAUUGGGAAUUUUGCCCAAGCUGCAGUCCAUCUCCAUUAAAGGCUGCCUCUUACUUGGGACCACAAGACAUCAAGUUUAUUGUAAUCAUCUACUUGGUAAAGCUUCAGGCAUUGAACAUCACAGAUUUCUCCUUUGUUGUCAUAAGCACUAUGAGAAGACUGUUACCAAUCUUGUCCUAUCCGCAGUUUGCGGCAUGUGAGUGAGAAGGGUUCUUGGGUCAUGGGUAAUACUCAGGAUUUGUAGAAAUUAUUAUCUCUGGCAAUCUCUUCUUGUUAGGUAAUGCUCAACAGUAGUCGCCCUUUGAUCGCUUGAGAACCAUGAGAAAGAAGCAAUCCUUCUUGCAAGAAAUCGUUGGCGAAGGAUUGCAGUCUUUGCUUGAUGCAGUAUAGUUUAGUUUCUAGGGAGACCAUGUGGCUUGAAAUUGAAUUUAUGAUAUUCUAUGGAACAAAGGGCAUAAUAGUUAUUUCAACAAUAAUAAACCGCACUUUAACAAAUGUAUUACACUAAAUCAAAAUCUAUAAAUUAAUUAGGGUUCUCUAUAAAUUAAUUACUGUUAAAAUAAGUGUGAUUUGACUUUUUUUUUAAAUGAAAUUGAAACUUUAUGAUAAAAUAAAUACCCGUUUAAAGUAUGUUUUUUUCUUAACCGGUCGAUUCGACUAUUCGGUGAAUUAUGAAAAUUACCUUUUAUUUUUUUUUGAUGUGAUACAAAUCUGACCAAUGGCACCUUGUAAAUGGAGCGAUGACUUGACUUUUAAAACAAUUAUUAGCCAUAAACAAUUAAGCAAGGGUUGGUUAGUGCCUAAAAAAGCAGCAGCAGCAGCUUCAAAAUCAACAUAAAAAACUUCACUACUUCCUUUGUGAUUAAUUAAUUAAUUUUCAAGGUUCUGUUAAUAAUCAUUAGAAGACAUACAGCACAAGGAAAUAAAUUAGGAAGUUCUGUGAAUCCAAAAUUAUUCUUCACGAUAGAUAUCCAAGAAAAGAAAUACUAAUCUUACCCUGACUAUAUGAUUUCUUCAUAUUACCAUAAUUUCCUCUGCAUCCAAACAGGGUAAACAUUUGCAAUCAGAAAAGAAAAUGAAUUAGAGAUAGCCAAAAAUAAAUAAAUAAAGAUACCCUUCACUAAAAUCUCACAGAACCAUAUCAAACAAAGGCAGCAAACUCCAAUCAUACAGCUUAAUCCAUCAAAAAAAAAAAACAAACUCUCUAUAUUUAAACUGUCUAUCUUAUGAACACAAAACCCAAAAUCCAAAUUCUUGAAAACCAGACCCAGAAAGAGCAUAUACAGUGUCAAAACCAGCUAUCAAGAAAGGCAGACUGGAAUUGCACCAAAACAAGCAGCAACACAAUCAAAGCAGCCACACCCCACGGUGAGCUUCCCUCCGGUGGACGGUGGUAGGUCCGCCUUUUCCAUUCCCACGGUGAUUUAGCAAACAACAUGUCAGGAUUCUCCAUAGACGACAGCCAACGGACGAGGAAGAGCAACAGUAGAGGUGUGGCCAAAAGCAACAAGUUCAUUUGCAGCUUUGCAGUCUCCACAAUUUCUUCGUAGCUGAAGUACCAUGAUAUGCCAAGAAAGAUUGAGAUGACAGCCAAGAUUAGAAGAACUGGGUAUGGCAGAGGAUCGAGAGUGAAGGCCUCAAAGAUUGAGUUGCUUCUUCUGCCAUAGUAGUAGUAGCUCAUUUUCUUGGCUUGCAAGGCUUAUUACAAAUUAUCAUGGCUCGAGAGGCCUUUAAGAACUGCAGGCUCUCUUUAUUUAUAGCAAAAUUUGUGCUAAGGUAUGGUAAUGACUAUUGAACUAAGUUAUUUUAACCGUUGAUUUCUUGAUUUUGUUGUUUAGUCAAUUGGUCAAAUGAUCUGGCGGUGGUGAUUAUGCAGACUUCAGAUUUGUUAGGCCCAGUAAUCAAAUUUAGCUUUAGUGGUUGAGUACUUAAAGGUAAAGUUUAGACUAUUAACACCAAUGAGAGAUUUUUUUUGUCUUUUUAUCAAUGCUAGCUAUAAAAAUUUGUUGAAUAAAUACUAAAAUAAAGUUUAAUAUUUUACAUUACAUCAUGGUAAAACAAUAUAAAUUAUUUUUCAGGAGUUAUUUAAAAUAAAGUAAAAUAAAAUAUUUCCUGAGUACAUAAAUAAAAAAACUAAAUCCCUCACCCUAGAUCAAAGGUCUUGAACUUAAAUUUGAUUGGUUUAAGUUUAAUUUGGUCCAUGUUCUAAAUUGAUUGCGAGCUUUGAUUUUAUUAUUUUAUUUUUUGAAAUGAUUUUGUUCUCUUCGUCAACACAUAUACGAUUCAAAUUAAAAAAAUCGAUAAAACUAAAUUAAUUUAAAAGUUCAGUUUAAUUUUUUAUUUAUUUCGGUUUAAUUUUUAAUUUCAAAAAUUUUGAUUAUUUUGAUUCGAUUUAAUUUUAAUAAAAAAAUUAAAAAAAUCGAACGAACAUAUUAAAUUAUAUUAAAAUUAAAAUAUUUUAAUUAAAUUUUAAAAUAUUAAAAAUAAAGUGUAAAAAAUAAAAAAUCUAUUAAAAAUUGAAACCGAUCAAACCGAACCAGAUUGAAUCAAAUCAGACCGGUUUAGUUCUAUUUCUGAUAGAAAUCAGUUCGAUUUGAUUUUUAUAAAUACUAAAAUUUUGAUUUUCAAUUUAUUCGGUUCAGUUCGAUUUUAAAUCUAACCGACCGAAUGUUCACCCCUACUCAUUAGCCUUCGAUUUUUUUUUAAGAUUACUAUUUAGUUUUUAAUAUUGUUAUUAUUAUAAAACAAUUCCUAUAUUUUCAGAAAUUUAUUAAAAUGUGUUUAUCUUUUUUUUUUUCGUCAAUAAAAUAUUCUCUUCAUCAAUAAAAUAAUUAUUACGUUCUCUUCAUUAUGUUAUCUUUUUCAUUAAAAAUAGGUGAAUAAUGAGAGAAAAAAUUUUUAAAAUCUAAUUUUAUCCUCAAAUAAAAAUUUUUAUUUAGUCCAUUAAUAUUGUAAUUAUUAACAAGUCAGCGCUUACAUUUUUGAAAAUUUAUUAAAACAUUUUAUCUUUUCAAAAAUUUAUUAAAAUAUUUUUAUAUUUUCUCUCCGUCAACGAAAUAGUCCCUCCUCCUCCUCUUAAAGAAGAAGAAGAAGCGAAGAAGAAUAAGAAGUUUUAAUAGAUUUCUCAAAACUAAGAGACUGACUCGUUAAUAAUGACAAUUGUUACGUAAUAAAUAAAAGGUACGACGACCGUUCCAAAAGUCGAACGGUCAUUCAAGAUCAUAUGAAAGUCGGACAAGUCAAACGACUAUUCUAAAAGAUCAGGUCGGACGACCAAUCAAAGUCAAACGAAGAUCGGACAGGUCGAAUAAUCAUUCCAGAAGAUCAAGUCAGAUGACCAUCCAAGACCAGGCCAAAUCACUCCAAUUACAAUCAAUUAACCGGUCGGAUGAUGACUCCAAUAAAUCAGGUUGGACGAUCACUUUAAGAUGACCAGGUCUGACAACUAUUCUAAAAAUGACCGGAUUGGAAUUAAUGGACGAUCAAACGAUCACUCCAAGAUGACCAAGUUAGGUAAUUAUUGUAAAAUGAUCGGAUUAAUGAACGGCCAGACGAUUACUCCAACAACAAGAAGAAGAAGGGUAAGAAUUUGUUUUUUGCUAUAUUUUUAAUGGCAGAAAUAAAUGGAAGAAUGAUUUCGUUGACGAAGAAAAAAGAUAAAAAUGUUUUAAUAGAUUUUUUAAAAUCGAGAGACUGACUUGUUAAUAAUGGUAAUUAUUACGUGAUAAAUAAAAUUGUAACAGCCCGGAAACCGAACUGCCACCGGCACUNNNNNNNNNNNNNNNNNNNNNNNNNNNNNNNNNNNNNNNNNNNNNNNNNNNNNNNNNNNNNNNNNNNNNNNNNNNNNNNNNNNNNNNNNNNNNNNNNNNNNNNNNNNNNNNNNNNNNNNNNNNNNNNNNNNNNNNNNNNNNNNNNNNNNNNNNNNNNNNNNNNNNNNNNNNNNNNNNNNNNNNNNNNNNNNNNNNNNNNNNNNNNNNNNNNNNNNNNNNNNNNNNNNNNNNNNNNNNNNNNNNNNNNNNNNNNNNNNNNNNNNNNNNNNNNNNNNNNNNNNNNNNNNNNNNNNNNNNNGAAUUCCGAUGCCGGACUCGAGCCGGGUAUUACAAAAAUGUUGGACUGAAAAUCGAACAGGUUGGACGAUCAUUCCAUAAGAUCAGGUUGGACGAUCACCCAAGGUUAGAUGAAGGUCGGACAGGUCAAACGAUCAUUUCAAAAGAUCAGGUCAGACAACUACUCCAAUAAAUCAGGUCGGACGAUCACUCCAAAAUGAUCAAGUCAGAUAACUAUUCUAAAAAUGACUGGAUUGAAAUCAAUGGACGACCAGACGAUCACCCUAAAUUAAAAUGAUGGGAUUAAUGAACGACCGGCUGUUACUCCAAGAUGACUAGGUCAAAUAAUUGCUCUAAAAUGACUAGAUUGGAAUCGAUCAGAUAUUCCAACAACAGUUGAACAUUAUGACGCAUACUUUCUUCCAGAAUACUCAAUAGAACUGUAUAUAAACACAUUCUAUUCAAAUAAAAUAAUCAAGUUUGUUUUACUUUAAUGUCUCUGUUUCAGUCAAGUUUCUUUUUGUAACGACAAUAUCCAGAGACUAAAUAGUAAAUCUUUUUUUUUUUUUUUUACCGGAAGAUAAAGAAGUUUCAAUAAUAAUAAUGGCUUAAUUGUAGAGGACGAAGCCUAAUUACAAAGAAAAUAAAUAGAUUCUGAAGUUCAAAAGUCCAAAAACAAAUUAAAGCUGACUGGUCCAAGGAAAACUUAAAGCUAAUGAGAGACUUUCAAUAACUUCACGGCUACCACCUUCAUCGGCUCCACUACACAGCUGAAAACAGCAUUUCUGAGGAUACAACUAUCAAAACCAAGCACACUGAAGAGUUUCAAGAAAGACAACCAAAAGGGAGGAAGCAACAGCACCAAACUGGCUCAAAUUCUAAUAAGCAUAAUACACAAAUGAAGCCCCAAAACAGAAUGUCCACCUUAAAAACAAUUGAUCUAGGACGGAAUGACAGGAUUAGGGUACAUGCAAUCAAGAAGAACUUGGGAUUUGAAGAGUAGAGAUCUGAAUGCUAUUUAGGGCAUAUUUGGUUUAAUUGUUAGAUAUAGCAACUAAAUACCAUUUAAAGUAUGUUUGGUUUAGCUAUUAAAUAUAAUUGAUAACUAUUAUUGAUGGCUAAUAGCCGAUAAUUGAUUGUAAUUGGACUGAUUCUAAGUGAUAUAUGUUAAGUGAUUGAUAAAUUAUUACUAUUAGUAUGUAAAAUGACUAAUACGAAUAUAUAUUAGUUUAUUAUAUUAAUGAAAUAAAUAUAAAAAUUUUAAUUUAUUAUAUAAUAUAUAAAUAAUUAAAAUUAAAAUUUUAGAAUUUAAUUAUUUUUUAUACACAUGUUAAUAUAAUAAUGAAUAUUAUAACUAAUUUAAUUAUUGAUGCUCCCUCGAACAUAAAACCUGAAAAAAAAUAUGGUUCAAAACUCAUGAAUUCAAUAAAAAUAAGUCUAAAAUUUCGAUACUAAGUUCUAUUAAAAACCUGGUUUCUAAGAUGUCAAAAUCUUUAAUGAAUUAGAUUGUAACUAAAUUUUUGAAAGAUUGAGUCUUUAUUAAUCGAAUCCCUUAAAGAAUUCGACAAAUUCAAGGGAUUCGACAGUUUUUGCUGAAUCCCUAGAAAGGGAUUUCAAGGAAUUCGGUGGUCCGAAUCUAAGAAACUUGGCAAAGACUAUCGAAACUCAAAGAGUUCAGCAAUCAAGGUGGAAACAAAAUUGAUCAAGGCUGAAUUUUUUUUUCUUGGUGUGGAUCCGAAAACAAACACUCUAAACAAAAAGAUAACUUAAAGAGUCCAUAUUUUCAAGGGAUUGAGUUCCACUUUGGUCACAAAACAAAGAUCAUUAAAUCGUAUAAAAAGAAAUAUUUCAGGGAUGUUCCUCCUCAAGUUAUUUAUUUUAUAGUCUUGUUAUCAUACAUCAAUUACUAAUUUAAGUAUCGAAAGUUGCCAAACAAACUCACUGAUAUCCUCUUUACUCUUACAAAUUCAUAUUUGAUAUGUCAAUCCGACAAAUAAAUAAGAACAAUAUUAAUUAUUAUUAUUUAUAGUAUUUUUAAUUUAUAUAUUAUGUAUCAUAAUUUUAAAUAAUAUAUUAAUAUAAAAAUUAUAUUUUUUAAAAUUAUAAUUUAUAAAAAAUAAUAUAAUCUAUAAAAAAAAAUUAAAUUAAAUCAGCUAUUAAUUUAUUAAAAACCACUCUAAUUUUAGAGUUAUCUAAAAUACAACUCAUAAUUUUCAUAUGAGCUGUCCUUUAUUUUUUAAAAAAUUUACUAAAUAUUUAAUUUAAGUGUUUAACACUAAGAAUUGAUUAUGCAUACCAUAUAACAUCCAAUAGAAAAAAGACUGUCAUCCUAUUUUAUUUUUGGAUAAAAAAAUGCUAAUAAUAAAAUAAAAAAACAGAAAAAAAAUUUUUGAUUUCGUAGGAAAGCACCAAAAGAUUUGAAAUUGAUUCCAUAGCGAAAUUGGGGUUUAGCUUAGAGUAAUUUCUUAUCCGGACACGUAACCCAUCAAACCCACCAGCCCUAAACCCCCGGUCUCCGGAAUUUAAUAUAAUUCAAAGCAACCCAAACUCCCAAAGUCCUAAAUUUGUAAACUCCCGCAAACUAAUAAAUAAAAUCCACUUACGUAUUCUCUCUCAUUAAUUCUCUCCCACUUUCCAUCCUUUUCUGGGAAAAAUCAAUCCUUUUCGCCGAUGAGGCCGCAGCAAAGGCCGAUUCACGCCGUCACUUCAUGGGUACGGCGACAGCCGUCCAAGGUCAAGGCUUUUUUGGGCGUGGUGUUGGGGAUGGCCGCUCUCGUUUUCCUCAGAUUUAUUGUACAUGAUCAUGACAGUCUCUUUAUCGCUGCUGAGGCUGUUCACUCAAUCGGUAUCAUUGUACUUAUAUACAAGCUUACGAAGGAGAGGACUUGCGCUGGUAAAAAGAGGAAAAUUUUAGUUUUUUUUUUCUUUUGAUGGUAAUUGUAGGAAUUAGAGAGAAAUUCACGACGUAACACUAAGUUUUGGAAUUUCUUACUGGUUUUGCCUAUUAAUUUUGAUUUUGAUUUUGAUCGUUUUAUGUUGGGUUUCUUUCUUUGGGUUGUCGGGUGUUGUGCAUAAAUAUUGGCUUUUUUUAUUUUAAUUUAUUUUUUGUUUUACAUGAAUGCAAACUUCUGAAGAACAGCGAAAUCCUUUUUAUACCCUUCAGCUAGUUAGCUUUCUCGUAGGAUUCUCUUCUAUGAGUGGCGAGCUAUGAUUUUUUAUUUUUUUGUGAACUUAAAAUUUCAAGUUCAAUUCUUUGGUGGAUUUGUGCAUAUUCAGCUUGUUGGUGUGAGUGAUCUCUAUUGAAUUGGAUGAUAAAAAGAAUGUGCAAUGCAAAUUUUUUGGAUUGGUUGCUUAGGAUGGGCUAUAAUUGGCAUCGUCUUGCUUAGUGCGAGUACAUUCUAAUAGUCUCAUCGACUUAUUCCUUCUGGAUUCACUGUAGUAGGUCUGAGUCCAAUGAUAGGGGCAAAAGCCUUUUUUUUUUAGUAUAGCCUAUUUUCAUCAGAUUUUGUUUUAGUAAGGAUCCUUCUGGCUAAUCUUGUUUAGCUUGAAGUGGGUUUUUCUUACUUGAAGUCUCCUUCCAGCAAACUAACGGAAGGAUUAAUUGACACUUCACCAAUCUCAUUAAUUGACAAUAAGGGUUACAUAGGUCUUUAUUUUGUUUUCCUUGAAAGAUAUCAGUUCUUUCUUGACAAUCCAUUCAAUGAUUUGCAGGACUAUCACUCAAGUCCCAGGAAUUGACAGCUAUGUUUUUAGCUGUCCGGCUGUAUUGCAGCUUUGUGAUGGAGUAUGAUAUACAUACCUUACUUGAUUUGGCCACGUUGGCUACGACUUUGUGGGUCAUUUAUAUGAUCCGUUUCAAAUUGAAGUCUAGUUAUAUGGAGGACAAAGACAACUUUGCUAUAUAUUAUGUGGUGAGUAUACAUCUGAAACCACCUUUGCAGUUGUUGCUUGUCAGACUCCUUUCAUUCUCUUGUUAUUGAAUGAUGUUUUAUGUCUGACAUUCAUAUCUCUUUAACUGAAAUCCUUGUUUUCUUUUUUAAAUUUUUAAUUCUGAUGCAGGUGCUACCCUGUGCUAUUCUAGCACUUCUUAUUCAUCCAUCAACAUCUCAUAAUUUAUUGAAUAGGAUUUCAUGGGCAUUCUGUGUGUACCUGGAAGCUGUCUCAGUAUUACCUCAGUUGCGGGUCAUGCAGAACACAAAGGUAUUGUUGCAUAAGGUAGAAGAUUUAUGUUUAAAAGGUUUUUGAGUUGAAAAUUAUCAUCGUCUCUUGUACUUUCAGAUAGUUGAACCAUUCACAGCACAUUAUGUAUUUGCGUUGGGUGUUGCGAGGUUCUUGAGUUGUGCCCAUUGGGUUCUCCAGGUUUGUUCUUGCAAAAUUCAAGCUGUAUUUAUUAUGUUUGAGUUAGUUUGUAUUUGGUUUCAAAUGAUUGAGCCCUCAUCUAAGUUGUUGGGAACUAAUUACAUCUUGUAUUCAAUCUAGAUAGUUCUAUCUUGGUACCUGAAUCUGCAUGAAGGGAUGUCAGGAUAUCACUUGAAUUCCUAUUCUGUUCUUAUAUUUACUUAUAUUUUGAUGAUGUAUUUGCUCAGUUAUCCAUAAUUGAGCGGUAUCAAUGUUAUUUAGGAGGGUCACUUUGAAUAAUUCUGCAAAAUAUGUAAUACUUUUAUCAAAAUUUGUAGAACUUGCAUAUUUUAAAUUGCAAUAUGAUAAGGAAUUCAUGCAGAGUGGUUAUCAUUCAACAAUUCUCUUUUCCUGCAACCCAUCAUAUAUUCCUAUAUAUACCCUGUAAUAAUACAAAUCUACAAAAUGAUGUUGAGGCUUAAUUGUAUGUGGUCAUUUUACAAGCAUCCGUUUGUUUGCAAUCUGGUUGGUUAACUGGCACCACAAGUUAUUCUCCAUCUAUAUUCCUGUUUUGAUUCUCAUAUUAUUGCUUAUAGCUUGAACAGGUUUUAGAUACUCGUGGACGCUUGCUGGUAGCCUUGGGGUAUGGAUUAUGGCCUUCUAUGGUUCUUAUCUCAGAAAUUGUCCAGACUUUCAUCUUAGCAGACUUUUGUUACUAUUAUGUCAAGAGGUAUGUUAAUUUUUGAGCAUCUUUUCUUUUAACCAGGGACUAAAUAGAUGUGCCAUUUGACAUUUUUCAUGACAAUUUUGUCAUUCUUAUUAUGAAUUUCAAUUUGGGUUUUGCAGUGUGUUUGGAGGACAGCUUGUUCUCCGCCUUCCCUCAGGAGUGGUGUGAUUUAAGUUUGUCAUCUGUUGUGGUGCUUUGAGCAACAUAACCAUCCAAAAUUAAUGUUUCCAGGCAAUUUUUCCCCCAUACAUUGUUCUCCCCUGCUGUUAUGACUGGAAGUAGAGUAGGUCAUUUGUAAAUUUGGGGAUGCAGAAAAUCUGAUGGAUAUUUAUAUUUGAGACAGUUUUUUAUAGUUGGAUUAACUUAUUUUGUCAGUGCUGAUCAUUUACUGAAGUGUAUAGACCAGUCCCUUGCCUUUUUUUCCCCUUCUUAUGGAUAUAAUCCUUGUCAAUUUUGAAACUAGUUGGAUUACUUCUGAGCAAAUUGUCGAUAUUGGAGGUUGUCACUAGGAAUGUGAGGCGACAUUCUGUGUUGCUUUCGCUUAUUGAAUGUGAUUUUCAUAAAGUAACAGGCAUGAUUCUGUCUGCAAAUUGUUGGCAGAUUCUAAAAGACAUGAAUGCAUCGCAACUGCUGCCACAAAUGACUCUUGAUUUCAUCUGCAAAUUGUCAGCAGAUUCUAAAAGACAUGCCAUUAAUCUGCUCAUUAACGCAACAGCUUGAGCAUUUUGUUUAUAGUAUGCCCUUUUGUCCAAUGAGAUUUCUGUGUUCUCUGAAAUUUGAUGAAUCUUCGUCCGUGUAGCAUGCAAGUGUACAUUUAACACAAACUGAUCUCUGGAUGCUUUACUCCUACCACUUUGAUUAAUCCAUAUCUUGUCUUUGUUUAAAUUAAAAGGUGCACUUCCUAUCAGGCUGAGCACGUCGGUGCAUGUUGAAACUAUAUUCAGUAUCUGUUUUACAUAUUGAGCUAAUCUAAUAUGCAAGAUGACUGCACAGUUGCAGCAGCUCAAUUGAAAGAAAACAUCGAUAUUGGAUACGUCACUAAGAUCUAAGUUUGAGUGAGAGAAGAAACAAAAUGGAUUAUCAAGUUACACGGAAUUCAUUUUAUUAGGCGGAUGAAAAUUCAAGUACAGACAUCCCUGGUAUGACAUCUAGAGGGAACCCAGGUUAUUACAUAGAAACAUGACAUUGUAAUUAGACGGUGAGGUUCCUGGCAAGAAUUCCCUCAAAGGUAAUUCCAGGUCCAAAAGCGAGUAUCAAUCCCCAUUCACAAUUCUCAUUUUUCUCCUUGAUCUUGAAGCUCUCUUCUAUCAUGUACUCCAGCACAUAGACAAUGGUAUUACUGCUAGCAUUACCAUAGUCCAUCAGAGCUCGUCUACUGGCAUUUAGUUUCUCCGGCAGCAAAUCAAGUCGCUUUUCGAUCCUAUUCAAUAUUGCAGGUCCUCCUGGAUGAACUGCCCAAAACAGCUUAUUGUACUCCUUUUCUGCUACUCCAGCAUUUCUCAUUAACUUAUGACAGAAUCCCUCAACAUUGUCUUCAAUUAUAUGGGGAAGCUCCCUUGCCAGCUUGAAGCUGAUCCCUUCUUCUGUGAGCUUGCCAUCAAUAAUCUUUUCUGUUUCAGGCAAGAAAUUUUGGA